rnacentral:lncRNA from 1 species
CUCAGUGGCCUCCCACACCGCCUCUUUGCUCUAUAAAUAUCCAGAAAAUCCAAAAACCCUAGGGGAGUCGACGAAACACAAUUCCAGCCGCCGCAAGUUCCAGAACCAUCAGAUCUAGUCCAGACACCAUCACGGAGGGGUUCAUCAUCCUCAUUGGUGCCUCUCCGAUGAUGCGAGUAGUUCAUUGUAGACCUACGGGUCCGUAGGAUGUAGCUAGAUGGCUUCUUCUCUCUUUUUGAUUCUCAAUACAAUGGUCUCUUGGAGAUCUAUUUGAUGUAACUCUUUUUUGCGGUGUGUUUGUUGGGAUUUGAUGAACUUUGAGUUCAUGAUCAGAUCUUUAUAUCCAUGAAAGUUAUUUCAGUUUUUUGAUCUGUUAUAUGCAUGAUUACUUCUAGCCUCGUAUUUCUUCUUCGAAUAUUUGGUUUAGUUAGGCCGACUAGAUCAAUUUUUCCUGCCAUGGGAAGAGGUGCUUUGUGAUGGGUUUGAUCGUACGGUGUUCUUUCCCAGUGACAGAAGGGGCAGCAAGACACAUAUAUAUCAUUGCUAUGAAGGAUAACAAGAUGGGGGCUAUUCCUACAUGAAUAGAUCUUGUCUACAUCAUGUCAUCGUUCUUAAUGCAUUACUCCGUUUCUCCAUGAACUUAAUACACUAGAUGCAUGUUGGAUAACGGUCGAUGUGUGGAGUAAUAGUAGUAGAUGCAGGAAGGAGUCGGUCUACUAAUGUUGGAUGUGAUUCCUAUAUAAUGAUCAUUGAUUGGAUAUCGUCAUAAUUAUUUAAGGUUCUAUCAAUUGCCCAACAGUAAUUUGUUUACCCACCGUAUGCUAUUUUCAUGAGAGAAGUCACUAGUGAAAUCUACGGCCCCCGGGUCUAUUUCCUCAUCAUAUAUUUUCAGAUCUAUAUUGCCAUUUGCCAUUUUAUUUAUUUGCAUCUUUUAUUUUCAGAUCUAUAUUACCAAAAACCCAAAAAUACCUCACUGAAUUUUAUUUGCCUUUAUUUUAUUUGCAUCUACCAAUUUAUCACUUUACCAAUCUUUUACCCGAGAGGGAUUGACAACCCCUCUUACGUGUCCGGUUGCAAGUAUUUGUUGUUUGUGUGCAGGUAAUGUUUACAUAGUGUUGCUUGGUUCUCCUACUAGUUUGAUAACCUUGGUUUCAUAACUGAGGGAAAUACCUACCAUAGAUGUGCUGCAUCAUCCCUUCCUCUUCGCGGAAAAAACUGACGCGGACACAAGCCAUCAAGAAAGGAUUUCUAGCACCGUUGCCGGGGAGGAUCAAGUCAAGGUAGUCUCCCGUCAACUUGCCAAUUUCUGGCGCCGUUGCCGGCGAGACAUCAUCAACAUCUAUCAGGUUCCUAAUCACAAAUCUCAUCUCCUUGCAAUUUACAUUAUUUGCCAUUUGCCUCUCAUUUUCAUCUCCCCCACUUCACAAAAUUUGUCGUUUUAUUUGCCCCUCUUUUUCGUUCGCCUUUUCUCGUCAGAUCUAUCCUUUUGUGUGUGAUCUUGCUUGCUCUACCUUGUUACUAUGGCUAGCUCUUCCUCUGUCACGUGUACCCAUGAGAACGAAGUUCUUAAUUUUAAGCUAAGGGGAGGAGAAACUCUAAAAGAUGCUUGGUAUAGGAUUUGCAAUGCUCAUAAUAGAUCUAUUAGUAAGCAAUCUACCAUUGUUCUUCUUUGCUAUUUUUAUGUGGGCAUCACCACUUGGUAUAGAUUCAUUCUUGAUACGAUUACCGGUGGGAACUUCUUGAUGUGUCCAUCUUUGGACGCUUCUAAUGCUAUGGGAAAUCUAGUAGGUUCACCACCGCUUAUGAUUAAUGAAACAACUUUAACCCUUGAGCAUGUUAUGGAAAGGUUAGAUGCUAUUGAAAAGAAAAUGCUCACUGAAGAAAACAUUGAAAAACUAGAUAAAAGGGUGCACAAUCUUGCUAAUAGAAUCGGUUCAAAAGUGGGAGACGCUCUUAAGGUACUAAAAGAUAAGGAAUCCACGGUAAACGAGAGAAUAGAAGAGAGUCCCGCUAGAAUUGAUAAGUUGGAAGAAUUUUUUAGUAAUUUAAGCUCGGCUUUCUCUUCCGUGAAGACUAUUGAAAAAACUCCCGUAAAAAUUGGCAAGAUUACUCAAGUCACUAAGAACAAGGAUGCAACUUCUAGUAGUAAUAAUAAAGAAGAUCUUAAGAUGAUUAGUAUUCACCCCGGUUUUAUUGAAGUGAUAAGAGACCCUACUUGCAAGAAUGAAUUUUUCAAUCUCGUUCCUAGAAGUAUUGUUAUUGAAAAUGUGUAUGCUAAAUCUUUGAAGAAUUCUAAGUAUUUGAUUGAAGAGUUGGAAACUAAAGAUGAAAAUAAUUGAAACUAUGCAUUAUGCCUAGCUAGGGGCAUAAGACAGCGCUUGUUGGGAGGCAACCCAAUGAAUAAAAUUUAUUUUUACCUUUUUCUUUUUGUUCUUGAGUGUUUGCACAAUUAUGCUACAAUUAUGAUUGUGUUUUUAUGUUGUAAUUAGUUUUUGUGCCAAGCUAAGCCUUUGGGAUCAUGUUGGGUGAUAGUUGACUUGAUCUUGUCAAAAAACAGAAACUUUUGCAUCCAGUAAAACAAUUAUCAAAAUCCACAGAAGCGAUGAAAACUUCUGACAUUUUUUCACAAGAUUGAUAUGAAAAUUGUCCAUGUUGUCCUAAUUUUCAGAAUUUUUUGAGUUACAGAAGUAUGAGCAAAAUUCGUGUCUUUACAGACUGUUCUGUUUUUGACAGAUUCUGUUUUGUUUGCAUUGUGUGCUUAUUUUGAUGAAUCUAUGGUUUGUAUCGGGGGCUAUAAGCCAUGGUAAAGUUAGAAUACAGUAGAUAUAAUGCAAUAAUAAAAUUGGAAUGAGUUUACAACAGUACUUAAAGUAAAGAUUGGUUUUCAUAUACUAACGGAUCUCACGAAGGUUUUGUUAAGUCUUGUGUGAUUGAAGUUUUCAAGUUUUGGGUGAGAUCAUGAUGGAUGAAUGAAUAAUGAGAAGCGAGAGCCUAAGCUUGGGGAUGCCCCAUGGCACCCCAAGAUAAUAUUCAAUGAUGAACAAGCAACUAAGCUUGGGGAUGCCCCAAGUGGCAUCCCCUCUUUCUUCUAACGACCAUCGGUACUUUACUUGGAGCUAUAUUUUUAUUCGUCACAUAUCAUGAGUUUUGCUUGGAGCGUCUUGUAUUAUACGAGUCUUUACUUGUUUUGCUUUUUAGUUUGUCACAAGUAUCCUUGCUGGACACACCUAUUUGAGAGAGCCAAAAUUAUAGUAUGAUUUGUUAGAAUUGCUCUUUAUGCUUCACUUAAAUUUUUUGAGCUAUGGAAUUGCUCUAGUGCUUCACUUAUAUCUUUUUGAGCACGGCGUGCUUUAAUAUUUUUGAAGAAAUGCUCUCAUGCUUCACUUAGAUUUAUUUGAGAGUUAGUAAUUUUGAAGAAAUUCUCUCAUGCUUCACUUAUAUUAUUUUGAGAUGAAAAUCUUUAUGCUCAUGUUCUUCACUUAAAUUUGUUUGAGCUUGUCAAAAACCAAUUGCAACAUAUGAAACUAGUCCCAAAGUGAUAGAUAUUCAAGAGGGAUAUAAUAAAAAAUUUCAUGAAGAUCAUUGUACAAAAUAAACUUGAUUCUUUGUAAUAGUUUUGAGAUAUGAUGAUAGUGAUAUGCGAGUCAUGUUGAUGAGUAAUUAUGCUUUAGUAAGAAUAUUGAUGUUAAGGUUUGUGAUUCCCUAUGCAAGCACGAAAGUCAAUAGUUAUGCAAUGAAAUCACAUCCUACUUGUGGUGCAUUAUUCGGUGUUAGUUAUGAUUAAUGCUCGCUUAUGUGAUUUUUUUGUUUCUUGGUUGGUUGCUUCUCAAUCUUUUGCUAGUCUUCACUUGUACUAAGUAGAAAUACUACUUGUGCAUCCUAAAUCCUUAAACCUAGUUUUGCCACAUGAUUCCACCAUACCUACCUAUAUGCGGUAUUCCCGUGCCGUUCUAAGAAAAUUUGUAUGUGCCACCUCUAAAUUUCAAAAUAAUUUCCUUUUUGUGUGCUCGUACCGCUCAUGAAGCAGUAGGGGGUGGCCAAUAUUUUCCAUGCUAGAUGUGUUAUUCUCAAGAUGAGUGUUUAUUCACUUGUCAUUGCACGAGAGUACGGCGAUAAUAGGGAUGCCCAGUUUCGAAAUGAAAAAGAAAUUUACUUUAUGUUGACAAAUAAUAAAUUCCUUGGAAAGUGUUGGUAUGGAGGGCACCCGUGGAUACGGCUAGCCAUGGAUUGUGAAAGAAUGGUGGAAAAAGGAAAAAACUUUAUUUUUUGUUUGGGAACCACCUAUGAUAUAUCUAGCAUGGAAAGUGUUGGGAAUUACUCAGUCGUUUUCGUUGACGGGAAAAGUAUGCCUCUCAAAAUGUUUUAUCUCUCAAUUUUCGCUUUGAGCUCUGGCACCUCUGCAAAUACCUACUUCCCUCUACGAAGGGCCUUCCUAUUUACUUUAUGCAAUUUUAUUCUUAUUUGGGUCUCCAUCUUCUCUUAUAAAGCACCAACUAAGCGGCACCAUGAUCGUACUUGAGCAUUGGAUGUAGCUAUAUGCGAGUGUGUUUCAUGAAUGGAUCAAUGAUUGGGCAUAAUGGGCUAGGGAUAACUUUCUUUAGUGUUGAUAUUUUGAAAAACUUGGUUGCUUGUUGAUAUGCUUGAGUAUUGAAAUCUUCAUGUCAAAACUAGACUAUUGCUUUGAACCAUAUAAAAGUCCAUAUGUCCAUGCUACAAAAGAAAAGAAUGUGAUGAACAUGAUAGGCAGCAUUCCACAUCCAAAAUUCUGUUUUUUAUCAUUUACCUACUCGAGGACGAGCAGGAAUUAAGCUUGGGGAUGUCGAUACGUCUCCAACGUAUCAAUAAUUUUUUAUUGUUCCAUGCUGUUAUGUUAUCAUUCUUGGAUGUUUUACAAUCAUUUUAUAGCAACUUUAUAUCAUUUUUUGGGACUAACCUAUUGACAUAGUGCCCAGUGCCAGUUGAUGUUUUUUUUGGCUUGUUUUUACUUCGUAGAAUAUCAGUACCAAACGGAGUCCAAACGCAGUGAAACUUUUUGGAGAAUUUUUAUGGACCAGAAGGAACAAGUUGGGCCAAAGAAGUACCAGAGGGGUGCCCCGAGGGGGGCACAACCCACCUCGGUAUCCUCCCGCACCGCCUCUUUGCUCUAUAAAUACCCCGAAAAUCAAAAACCCUAGGGGAGUCGACGAAACACAAUUCCAUCCGUCGCAAGUUCCAGAACCAUCAAUCCAAUCUAGACACCAUCACGGAGGGGUUCAUCAUCCUCAUUGGUGCCUCUCCAAUGAUGCGUGAGUAGUUCAUUGUAGACCUACAGGUUCGUAGGCAGUAGCUAGAUGGCUUAUUCUCUCUUUUUGAUUCUCAAUACAAUGGUCUCUUGGAGAUCUAUUUGAUGUAACUCUUUUUUGCGAUGUGUUUGUUGGGAUUUGAUGAACUUUGAGUUCAUGAUCAGAUCUUUAUAUCCAUGAAAGUUAUUUCAGUUUUUUGAUCUGUUAUAUGCAUGAUUACUUCUAGCCUCGUAUUUCUUCUUCGAAUAUUUGGUUUAGUUAGGCCGACUAGAUCAAUUUUUCCUGCCAUGGGAAGAGGUGCUUUGUGAUGGGUUUGAUCAUACGGUGUUCUUUCCCAGUGACAGAAGGGGCAGCAAGACACAUAUAUAUCAUUGCUAUGAAGGAUAACAAGAUGGGGGCUAUUCCUACAUGAAUAGAUCUUGUCUACAUCAUGUCAUCGUUCUUAAUGCAUUACUCCGUUUCUCCAUGAACUUAAUACACUAGAUGCAUGCUGGAUAGCGGUCGAUGUGUGGAGUAAUAGUAGUAGAUGCAGGCAGGAGUCGGUCUACUAAUCUUGGACGUGAUGCCUAUAUAAUGAUCAUUGCCUGGAUAUCAUCAUAAUUAUUUGUGGUUCUAUCAAUUGCCCAACAGUAAUUUGUUUACCCACUGUAUACUAUUUUCUUGAGAGAAGCCACUAGUGAAAUCUGCGGCCCCCGGGUCUAUUUCCUCGUCAUAUAUUUUCAGAUCUAUAUUGCCAUUUGCCUUUUUUUAUUUGCAUCCUUUAUUUUCAGAUCUAUAUUACCAAAGACCAAAAAAUACCUCGCUGAAUUUUAUUUGCGUCUACCAAUUUAUCACUUUACCAAUCUUUUACCCGAGAGGGAUUGACAACCCCUCUUACGCGUCCGGUUGCAAGUAUUUGUUCUUUGUGUGCAGGUACCGUUUACAUAGUGUUGCUUGGUUCUCCUACUGGUUCGAUAACCUUGGUUUCAUAACUAAGGGAAAUACCUACCGUAGUUGUGAUGCAUCAUCCCUUCCUCUUCGGGGAAAAACUGGUGCGGACACGAGCCAUCAAUCCUCGUGACCUAGUCACCUGUGUCUGGCCAAAUGAUGAUGGAUGCCGUCACACCGAGAGGGCCCUAAGAAUAUCUCUCCAUUCUCGGAGGAGCAGAUCCCACUCUUGAGCUAUCUAGUCCCUUGUUAAACUUUUGGAUGAACCUGUAAUUUAUCGUUAUGACCAUUGCGUUACAGAUGACGUUUGAGCAACCCCAAAGUCUAUCGUACGGUAAGAAGUGACUACAAUACUGAUACAUCUCCAGCGUAUCUACAUUUGCAAACACUUUUGCUCUUGUUUUGGAAUCUAAUUUGCAUGAUUUGAAUGAAACUAACCUGGACUGAUGUUGUUUUCAGCAGAACUACCAUGGUGUUGUUUUUGUGCAAAAAUAAAAGUUCCUAGAAAUGGACGAAACUUGGCGGAGAUUUUUUGUUGAAUAAAUUAAAAAUACUGGCACAAAUAUCCACUAGAGGUUGGCCACGAGCUACUCACAAGGCAGUAGGGUGCGCCCACCCCCUGGGCGCGCCCUGGUGUCUUGUGGGGCCCAUGAGCGUUCGUCUGACCUAAUUCCAAACCUAUAUAUUCCACCUUUCCGAGAAAAAAUAGGAGAAGAAGUUUCAUCGUGUUUUACGAUACAGAGCCGCAGCCACCUCAUGUUCUUCAUCGGGAGGGCUGAUCUGGAGUCCGUACGGGGCUCUGGAAAGGGGGAUUCGUCGUCGUCGUCAUCAUCAACCCUUCUUCAUCGACAAUUCCAUGAUGCUCACCACAGUGAGUGAGUAAUUCCAUUGUAGGCUUGCUAGUCGGUGAUGGAGAUAGAUAAAAUCUAUCAUGUAAUCAGGUCAAUUUGUUAGGGCUUGAUCCCUAGUAUCCACUAUGUUCUGAGGUUGAUGUUGCUAUGACUUUGCUAUGCUAAAUGCUUGUCACUAGGGCCCGAGUGCCAUGAUUUCAGAUCUGAAGCCUUUUAUGUUUUCAUGAAUAUAUUUGAGUUCUUGAUCCUAUCUGCUAGUUGUAUGCACUUGUUAUUGUUCUGAAUCAUAGACCCCAAGGUGACAAUAAUUGGGAUACUCUCCGGGGAUGACUGUAAUUCGAGGAGUUCAUGUAUUCUCCAUGUGUUAAUGCUUUAAUCCAUUCAUCUAUUAAAAGGAGACCUUAAUUACCCUUAGAUUUCCUUAAGGACCCGCUGCCACGGGAGGGUAGGACAAAAGAUGUCAUGCAAGUUCUUAUUAUAAGCAUGUAUGACUAUAUACGGAAUACAUGCCUACAUUGAAUUGAUGAAUUAGAGCUAUUAUGUACCACUCUAGGUUAUGAAUGUUACAUGAUGAAUGCCAUCCAUACAAAUAUCCAUCAUUGAUCCAAUGGCUACGCUUUGCUCAUAUUGUUCUCUGCUAAGUUACUACUGCUGUUGUUGCUACUGUUUAAUUACUACUCCCUCCGUCCCAUAAUGUAAGAUGUUGUCUUACACAAUGGGAUGGAGGGAGUACAAAAUUGCUACUGUCACUAUUACUAUUACUAUUUCUACUGCUAACGCUACUAUCAAAACUAUCAUACUACUGUGCUACUGAUACUUUGCUGCAGAGAAAUAACUUCUCAGGUGUGGUCGAAUCAACAACUCAACUGCUAAGGCUUAUAAAUAUUCUUUGGCUCACCUUUUGUCGAAUCAAUAAAUUUGGGUGAAAUACUACCCUCGAAGACUGUUGGGAUCCCCUAUACUUGUGGGUCAUCAAGAUACUCUCAUGAUCUAAGGAAUUAAAUCACACAUUGACUCUCUGUAUUAUAACAAUUGACUUGUGAUGAUUGCAUCUGAAAGUAUAACAAACAAGUUUGGGUCGAUUCAAUAUGAUCGUUCUUCCAACGUCAUAUUCUCAAUGUUGUUUUAGGGCUAUCGUUGCACUUAACGAUAUCCUAAGAUCCAGAAAAUUUGAUCACCAACAACACUUGAGCUAGUUUUAGAGGCGAGACUAGGAAUCAUAUUUUACCGUUUAUCAUUCCACACGUGCAUACGAGUUUUCCACUGAGUCACAUAUUCCAGGAUCAUAGUAGUUAUAACAUAGAAUAUAAACUCUUAAUUAUAAAUAUGGAAAUAUAAUAAUACAAUAUUAUUGCUUAUAGGGCAUAUUUCCAACAACAUCUUCUCCAAGUGAAGGAAUCACCAAUACAACCCAAGUCAUCCAAACCCCACUCCCACAAAAAAAUCGCAUCAUUGCAUUUGGUCUUGCAUUACAUCCUUACUUUUCAUGAGAAUAUCAUAUUUCAUUGAAAUCUCUGAAGACAACCCAAGGACAAGAAGCAUGUAAAUCGCGAAAAUCAAUCCAACAUAAGUGUUCAUCAUUCCAAGCAGGAUAACCAUAGAAACCUAUAAAUCGCCAAUCCACAAUAUCCUCAUUCAUAAACAUAACAUCAAUAAAAUGGGGUGGCACAUAAUCCAACACAAUGUUAUCCUCUUUUUGAUAAAAAAAACACAAGACCUCCAGCCUUACCAUCACUCUCAGAAAUAAACAUGGAUCUGAAACCUAACUUAAGAUGUAGCUCGUCAGCCUUUAAUUAAUUUAAAUGCGUCUCUGAAAGAAAAAUAAGAUCCCCACGAACCCGCCCUUGGAUCUCCAAGAGCUCACAAAGUGCGGUGGUAGAGAGGAUCCCACAACAGCUCCAACUAAUUAUUUUUAUUUCUUCUGGCGAUCCUCAAUCCUAUAGAUUGAUGUGUUUAUUGUGUAGGGGGGAGGGGGUCUACUGUUUAUUGUGUGGAAUAAGAGAUAAUGUGAAUACCAUAUAUAAGUAAAAUGUUUCUAGGAAUGGUGCAACCAAAUAUCUUUUGUUACAGAUUCAUGUGUUUUCAAUUCCCGUAUAAUUCAAUAUGUCAGGUCAUCCCAAUCCUACCCUUUUUCUUGCAUUUUUAGAAUCAUGCAAACAAAUAACAACCUUACUGUUCCAAUAUCCAAGUACCCGACACUGAAUAUCCUCUAAAUUUUCUAUAAAAAGGGAAUAAUCUACAACUAGUUUUCCCUUAAGUUGACUGUACACAACAAGUUAAGUAUCAAACACUACAACAUAAAAAUGACAUGAGAUGGACCCUAGAACUCAUGUGAGGAGAAAAACUAGAAGAAGUUGUGGGAUAUUAAAGCUCCAAGUAAGAUGAAGAUAGUCUUGUGGCGCAUUGGUGGUGAUUGUUUGGCCACAUGACGUCGGUUACAGAAGUGACACAUUACUGCUAAACCUUUGGGCGUGUUUGGUUGCAUGUAUUACCCCCAAACAGUCCUAGUUUGCAUGAGAAAAACUUGUUUGGUUGCAUACAGGGAGGCAUGGCUCGCACUGGCAUGAACCUUAAAGCAACCCAUAGCCUGGCUUGCUGGGAACGCUCAAAUAGCCGUUUCCAGCAAGCCAGGAUGAGUCGGGCCAAAAGUGGGGCACGUCUAUGAUACGUCCAUUUUGCAUCAUGUUUUUUCUACUGUUAUUUGUAGUGUUUUUAUUCAAUAUAAGACUUUGUGGAGCAAUUCUAAUGCCUUUUCUCUCUUAAUAUGCAAGAUUUACAUGAAAAGGGAGAUUGCUGGCAGCUGGAAUUCUGGACCUGAAAAAGCUACGUCGGAGAUACCUAUUUUGCACAUCUCCAAAUGAGCCAGAAUUUCACUGAGAUUUAUUUUGGAAUAUAUAAGAAUUAUUGGAGAAAAUAAAUACUAGAGGGGCCCACCCAGGUGCCCACUAGGCACCAGGGCGCGCCUACCCCCUGGCGCGCCCUGGUGGCUAGUGGGCCCCUCAUGAGCCUUCUCGACUCCGUUUUCCUCUGGUAUACUUGUUUUGCAAGAUAAAAAUUCUUUAUAUAUACUCCCGGACGUUUUGACCACCGUAUCGCAUAAAUAUCAUCUGUUCUUCUUUCGUGCUAUUUCCUGUCAGGUUUCCUAAGGCAGGCAACAUGUCUUCUUCCACUUCCAACAACGGGGGAGACUAUGCUUGGCUGCUGAAGAUGGAACUAAAGAGAGAGGGAACAAAGGAGGGCACCAAGGAGGACAAGGCCGAAGAAGUUACAGGGAAUCAUGCCCAAGAUGGAGGGCAAGCCAUGCCAAUGGAGGAAACUGCGUAAGAGGGAGAUAUCCUUCCACCUCUCUAUGAUCAUCUUACCCCAUCUGAAAUCAAAUCCGUAAGGGUCUUUGAAACGGUUUGUGUUCAGAAUACAUAUCUCACUCGUGAAGUUAUUUUGUUGGAAGAGCAAAACAUCGCCCUUCGGAGCAUCAACCAUAGGUUGGAGUACCUACUAAGGCUGAAGUGCGAGCCCACUACUUCAUCAUCACCACCAACACUGACAAAGGAAACUUGAGUACACGGGGAUGGGCACUACCCUUGGCUUUCGCCAAGCUUGGGGGAGGUGCCCCGGUAUCGUAUCACCAUCACUUUUAUUAUCUUUACCAGUUUUUAGUUCGAUGCUUAGCUAUUUCAUGAUUUAGCUAAAUAACAGUUUAGUAUGAUCUAUUUUUCAGUGCUAGUUUCAUUAUCUAUCUAUCUAUGUAAUCAAGUGAGAGUUAUAUAAUAGGGUUAAUUUGAUAAAUGCCACUCCAAAUUUGGUGAUUCUGAGAAAUGCCACUCCAAUUUCCAAACUUUGAAAAUGCGAUUUCAUGCCAUUUACAGUGGCAUUUUUCGAAGUCUGCAGUGCGUUUUUCAGAGUUUGCAAACAUUGCAGUGGCAUUUUUACGAAUCGCCAUAAUUGGAGUGGCAUUUAUCUAAUUAACCCUAUAUAAUAAAGGUUAGUUUGAGAUUUUGCUUUUUUACUUUUAUGUUUCAAUCAUAACAAUGAAAAUAAUUAAAAGUGUCAUAUGAUAAUCUUAUGGAAAGUAAUGACAUUACAUAAGGAAAAGUAUAAGUGUAAAAUUUAUUGAAAGUUGACAAACAUAGCAUUGGUCAAUGAUGCAAUUCAUGAAAAAGUUAAUAAGGGAAGAGAAGAUUCACAUGCAAAUAUCCUAUCUUGGACAUCUUUUAUGAUUGUGAGCCCCCAUUAAAUAUUUUAUGCCAAAUUAUUGAUGUUGGACAAGGAAGACAACAUAAUGAUUUAUGGUUGUUCAUAUUCACAUAGAAGUUAUAUUGUCAUAGAUCCUCUAACAUGUGGUGCUUGUCCAAUAUCUUUGCUAGCCAAAAAUCCGCACCAAGUAGAGAUACUACUUGUUCAUCCAAAAACCUUAAACCCAGUUUCAUGUUACAAGAGUCCACUAUACCUACCUAUGGAUUGAAUAAGAUCCUUAAAGUAAGUUGUCAUCGGUGCAUAAGGCAAUAAAAAUUGCUUCUAAAUAUGUAUGAUCUUUUAUUGUAAGGGAAAAUAAGCGUUGUACGAACUUGUGAUGGCAAAUAAAUAAAAGCGACGGACUACAUAAUAAAGGUUACUAUCAUAAGGGGCAUUAUAACGUGACGUUCUUUUGCAUUAAGAGCUUGUGCAUCCAAAAAUAAAAAGCGCAUGACAACCUCUGCUUCCCUCUAUGAAGGGCCUAUCCUUUACUUUUAUGUAUUUACUUUUUAUGCAAGAGUCGAUAGUGUUCUCCUCUAUUCCUUUUUAUUUUUCUCUUUUGCAAGCAUCAUGUGGCGGGGAAAGAUCUAGGCACAUAUAUCCAGUUGGAUAUGAGUGAUCGUGAGUUAUUAUUGGACAUCACCCUUGAGGAGAAUAGGUUGGGAGGCAAAAUUAUAAGCCCCUAUCUUUCUAUGUGUUUGGCUGGAACUUUUUGCUCCAUAUAUAUGUUGUGAGUGUUAGCAAUCAUAGAAGACUAAAUGAUGGUUGAGUAUGUGGACUUGCUAAACAAAAGCUCCGAUACGAGACUCUUCUUGAAAAGAUGAUGAAUUGCAAUUGCAUUGUUGACUGAGAACACCGUUUUUUAGUUUUCAAGAAAGUUUAUUCCUUAUAGUUGAUGUUGUGAUGAAUUGUUAUUUGCUCAUGAGAAGUUUUAUGAUAAAGUAUAUUGGUGUUAUAAUAAUGAUCAUGAUGCUACUAUGUCCGUAUUUUGUUUUAUCGACACCCCUCUCUCUAAUGCAUGUGGACAUGAUUAUCGAUAUCGGCUUUUGCUUGGGGACAAGCGAGGUCUAAGCUUGGGGGAGUUGAUACGUCCAUUUUGCAUCAUGUUUUCCUACUGUUAUUUAUAGUGUUUUUAUUCAAUAUAACACUUUGUGGAGCAAUUCUAAUGCCUUUUCUCUCUUAAUAUUCAAGAUUUACAUGAAGAGGGAGAUUGCCGGCCACUGGAAUUCUGGACCUGAAAAAGCUACGUUAGAGAUACCUAUUCUGCACAUCUCCAAAUGAGCUGAAAUUUCACGGAGAUUUCUUUUGGAAUAUAUAAGAAUUAUUGGAGAAAAGAAAUACCAGAGGGGGCCACCCAGGUGCCCACUAGGCACCAGGACGCGCCUACCCCCCUCCCCCUGGCGUGCCCUGGUGGGCAGUGGGGACCCUAGCUAGCUCCGGUGCCCAUCUUCUGGUAUAUAAUCCUAUUUGCCCUAGAAAAAAAAUAAGGAGAGGACUUUCGGGGAGGAACGCCAUCGUCUCGAGGCGGAACUUGGGCAGGAGCACUGUUGCUCUCCGGCGGAGCGAUUCCGUCGGGGAUACUUCCCUUCGGGAGGGGGAAAUCGAAGUCAUCGUCAUUACCAACAACCCUCUCAUUGUCGGAGGAUCAAUCUUUAUCAACAUCUUCACCAGCACCAUCUCAUCUCAAAACCCUAGUUCAUCUCUUGUGUUCAGUCUUUAUAUCAAAACCUCAGAUUGGUACAUGUGGGUGACUAGUAGUGUGGAUUACAUCUUGUAGUUGAUGCUAGUUGGUUUAUUUGGUGAAGAUUAUAUGUUCAGAUCCAUUAUGCUAUUUAAUAUCCCUCUGGUCUUGAGCAUGAAUAUUAUUUGUGAGUAGUUGCUUUUGUUCUUGAGGACAUAGGAGAAGUCUUGUCAUAAGUAAUCAUGUGAAUUUGGUAUCCGUUCGAUAUUUUGAUGAUGUGUAUGUUGUGAUUUCCUUAGUGGUGUUAUGUGAACGUCGACUACAUGACACUUCACCAUCUUUGGGCCUAAGGGAAUGCAUUGUGGAGUAGUUAUUAGAUGAUGGGUUGCUAGAGUGAUAGAAGCUUAAACCCUAGUUUAUGCGCUAUUCCGUAAGGGGCUGAUUUGGAUCCAUAUGUUUAAUGCUAUGGUUAGAUUUUAUCUUAAUUCUUCUUUCAUAGUUGCAAAUGCUUGCGAGAGGGGUUAAUCAUAAGUGGGAGGUUUGUUCAAGUAAGAAAAACAUCCAAGCACCGGUCCACCCACAUAUCAAAUUAUCAAAGUAGCGAACGUGAAUCAAACAAACAGGAUGAAAGUGACAAGAUGAAAUUCCCAUGUGUCCUCGAGAACGCUUUACUUAUUAUAAGAUGUCGUUCCGGCCUGUCCUUUGCAACAAAAAGGAUUGGGCUACCUUGCUGCACUUAUUGUUACUAUUGCUACUUGUCACUUGUUACAAAUUAUCUUGCUACCAAAGUAUCUAUUGCCGAUAAUUUCAGUGCUUGCAGAAAAUACCUUGCUGAAAACUGCUUGUCAUUUCCUUGUGCUCCUUGUUGGGUUCAACACUCUUACUUAUCGAAAGGACUACGAUUGAUCCCCUAUACUUGUGUCUCAUCAGUCUACGCUCGGUGUAGGGGAAAUCAGGGCGGAUGGCGGGAAAAAGAUAUCGACCGAUGCGGGAUGGCACUAAAUCUAGCCUCACCCCCCCCCCCAUUUACUUGCUCGACACUUUCUCUAGGACAAGCCCAUCCUUACUUAUCGGCAUCGGCAGUGGCGACGACUCAGAUUUGCAGAAGCGGUGGCAGCAACAUCAUUCUUUGGCGGCAAAAGUUGCUUCUCCCCUUCUUCUUGGCCUCCAUCUCGUCCUCCUCAUCUCAACCAUGGCCCCUGUCCCCAUUAUCGGCUCCAAAGUUGGUAAGCAGCAUACAACCCCCUCUUCCUAUGUUAGGUCGUUUGUUAGGGCAUUAGGUAAGAUGUAGGAUCGAAUUCGCCAUUGCCCACCGCACCAUCGAUGUCGCCUAGGUUUCAGACAAACGGAUGAAGCUGGUGGUUUAGGAAGCAACACUGAUAGCUGUGAUACAGACCUGGCUCGUGUUGGUCCACAAGAGAGCUGCUCGUCGAGGUGAUAAGCCUGUAAUCCGUUGUACUCCAAUGUUAACCCGGGAUAGGGAUAGGAUAGUGAAUCUGACCUACAUCUACAACUGCAACAACAUAGAUGCUCUGUGGAUGGUUUGAAUGAAAAGAGCACCUUUCGCCAGGCUUGUGCAGACGUUCAGGAGCGAAGGGCUACUACAGGAUAGCAUCCACACCACCGUGGAAGAGCAAAUUGCCAUCUUCCUCCAUGUUGUAGGUCAUAAUCAAAGGUUCAGUGUUAUCUACAACACUUUUAGGAGAUCAUUGGAGACCAUUUCCAGGUAUUUCAGGCAAGUGUUGUAUGUUAUUGGGGAGCUUAGAGAAGAGAUGAUCAAGUCACCAACCGGGCAAACUCCUAGCAAGAUUCACACUAGCCCAAGAUGGUAUCCAUAUUUCAAGGUGAGCACUACUCAUAGUUCAUGCCAAUGACACACUUGUAUUGUUCUGGUACAACCAUAAUACCAUGUUUUCAUGCCAUUUCCAGGAUUGCAUUGGCACAAUAGAUGGUACUCACGUGACUGCUAGAGUGCCGAACGCAUAGGCCGCAUCAUAUAGGGGUAGAAAGCACUGCACAAGCCAGAAUGUUCUUGCUGCUAUUGACUUCGAUAUGAAGUUCACAUAUGUGUUAACUGACUGAGAAGGAUCAACCAUGAUGCUAAAAUUCUAUCUAACAACAUGUCUCAACCUGAUGGCAUCAAUACCCUCGAUGACAAGUUUUACCUAGGAGGUCCUGGCUAUGUAUGUUGGCCCGGUGUUCUUCCAGCCUUUAGGAAAACCGGGUACCAUCUGAACGAUUUCUCUAGUAGGACUGCACAUGAAUUGUUUAAUCUCAAACACUCUAGCCUUAGAGUUAUGGCUGAGAGGGGAUUUUGACCUCUUUAGAAUAUAUUUAAGAUCCUGGAUUAGAAGCCAUUCCACACUUUCCUCACACAGGUUAAGCUUCUUCUUGCAUGUUGCAUCCCUCAUAAUUGGAUCAUACAAUGGGGUCGUCGUGCCGGAGGAGGAAGAUGUGGCACUUGAUGAUGUUGUUAGCUCCGACCAUGGUGUGGAGGCAUUUGACAAUGAAGCCUGGAAGAACAAAAGGAUGGAGUGGUGUGAGGAAAUGUCGGCAAACAGAGGUCAGUGAAGGAUCUGAAGAAAAAGGAGUUGCGGCAGAAGAAGAAGAGAAGAAGGAGCAGCAACAGAAGAAGAAACAACAUCAACAGAAGAAGAGGACGAGGAUGGACUUCCACCUAGUUUGGCAUCGAUUCACUUUCCCGUAUUGAGCCAUAUGAUUGUUAAAUUUGUAUUGUUAUUUGUUAGUAGCUAGGAUGAACUGUCAUUUGUUUUCUAACUAGGACGGAAACGAUGUUUCAAUUGUGUGUGGUAAGGUCACCACUGGUGAGAAAGGGUGAUAACACCUUAUACCGUGUACAACCAAACACCAUGUAGCUCGUCAACCCAGUGCAACGGAGGCAACCAAACGCCAAGUGAAAAUUGGUUCCCUGAUGCAGCCAGCUUACAUGCAGGCAACCAAACAAUGUGGAGAUGUUAGGUUUUGGACUGUAUUACCUCAGACGCCAAGUGAAAAUUGGUUCCCUGAUGCAGCCAGCUUACAUGCAGGCAACCAAACAAUGUGGAGAUGUUAGGUUUUGGACUGUAUUACCUCAGUCAAACCCAACUGAGACAUACAUGCAAAGAGGAAAAAAAAUGAUGCAUGCAUCCAAACACACCCUUUGUGUUUCUUAUGUGGUUGGGAGAGGUAUGCUGACCAUUUAUUUAUGUGCCUCUCUUUGAUAUGGCUAUCUACAAUGUGAUUAAGGGGCAGUUUGAUAUUCACUUGCAAUGGAAAUAUUUUCGUAAUGCUAAGCAAAGGUUGUUUGACCUUCUUAACCAUAGCAAUGUGGUGCAAAGUGUGUCAGUUACAUGUUGGCAUAUUUGGGACGCCCGAAAUGAGACGUGGAAUUCAGACUCUAUGGCGAACCCUAAUGUGAAAUUAAGAAGAUCCAGGCGUGUGUCAGUUACAUGUUGGCAUAUUUGGGACGCCCGAAAUGAGACGUGGAAUUCAGACUCUAGGCGAACCCUAAUGUGAAAUUAAGAAGAUUCAGGCCCAUGUAGAUAUGAUUGCUUUGCAUUGUUUGAAGCCGAAUCAUUCACCAAGGUGUGUAGUUGUGAGGCAAGUUGAGAAACGGACUCCACCGCAUAUUGGCUUGGUUUGCCUGGAUGUUGAUGCACCAAUCUUCACAUCUUCAUCGAGUUCGGCGGCGAGUGCGGUGACGCGGGACCAUAUGGGCAGGUGUUUGGUGGGUUGCCACCAAUCCCUCCACGUCAGCCCAACCCCAGAAUUUACAGAAGCUCUAGCUCUUCAUUGUGUUGUCAUUCUCGUGUUGGAUGAAAGUUUUCACAAUCUCUUCUUGCACUCCGAUUGCCUCCCGUUGAUCAAGAAGGUGAAUGCUCCGGAUAGGGAUAGAUCGUUCACAAGUCUUGUUGUUGCUGAUAUCAAAUCUUUAGCGAGCAACUUUGCUUCAUUUUUCAUUUAUUCAUGUAAGCCAUUGCGCUAAUAAGGUAUACUCAUUUGUUAGCAAGGGCGAGCGAGCUUGUUGCUUACUCAGCCUUCCAACAGUUUACCCCCGGUUGCAUCCAGAAUGUCGUAAACUCUGAAUAAUAAUAGGAGUAUUUUUUAAAACUCAUGUCCAGUCUCCUCCUGUUUUCCAUGUGGCAGGACGAACGGUCAAAUCCUGUCAAGACUGGGAUAUUAUAUUCACUCAACUUACUAAACUACAGUGAAGCCGAGCCACGACUGCGGCACUGCUGCACCUGCAAAUCUUGCCGCGGCCUGUGGCAUAUAGAGACGGCAGAAUUCAAGAACCGCCCUCUGCCUCUGCCUGCCUGCUGCAUGGCUGCAUGCAUUCAAGUACGUACACACACACACACGCAUAAUCCUGCCAAAUCCAGCAUUCAUGCAUCGCAGGGAAGCAGCCAAUCCGAUCCCCAACUAAUCCCCCAUUCGCCUCAGGAUCGCACAUGGGCUAUGUAUAAUGACCAGUUCAGCCAGCCGGCCUGCAAAUGCUACAGAAACAGUUUGCAUUGCAUAAACCACAAGAGGCCAGAGUUCAUUCAAAAAACAGUAGUAAUCACAAGAGGCCAGAGAAUUCAAUUCCGUCCGGCCGCAGCUCGCCUGCAGCAUGCUAGUACGAGCUGCAUGGGAGCAUGCAAUCAUUGUCCCCGAAUCUCUUGGAAAUAUGCGGCACGACCAUGACGACGCCAUGGCCAUGGGGUAUGACUAUGCUUGCAAAAGGAAACGCCCUCGGUUCGUUUUCAGCUCAUCUCAUUUCACCAUGGUCCAUGGAGGACCGACUGACUGGAGAUAGUUCAACGGUAGGAAAAGAUAACUGUUACAUCACACAGGUUCACAGCACCAGAGAGAAGAUCGGUCUCAUGUCUGCAGGGAGGGAGAUGGCGAGCCUCAUCCCAUCAAGUUGUCCAAGGAACUGGUAAAAAAGGAGCGGAACAGCACAAGUUUUUGUACAUCUAGCAUCAUCCUGACUAGACAGUCAGGAGAGAGAGAGCCCAUGAUGAUCAUCACCGUCCUGGCGGUCUUGUCUCCCGGGGUUCACUCGCCUACAUCGCGUUCUGGAGACCGGCGCAGUGCAGGAGCACGGCCUUAAUUUCCUCCGGCAGGAGCCCAGGGCCCUCCCUGCAUUGCUAGACAGCCAGAAGAACAGAACAGUAAAGAUGGUGAACAGCAAGCAACGGUAGGAUUUGAUUUGAUCGAAAUGCACACUGUCACCGACCGACAGAAUUAGCACGCAUCGCCACAGGUACACAGUGGCGCAGAGAAGAGAUGCUUGGCGGGAAUUACAAACGAACCUCGGCGCGGAAGACGUCCAUGGCGAAGCCAUCGAAGCAGCUGAUGACGGCCUGCUCGAUGUCGAGGCCGAGGCUGUCCAGCGCCCUCAUGGUGGACAGCAGGAUGCCCGGCCUGCGCGCGCAGAACAUGUGGAUGUUCACCGCCUGCCCCUCCCUCAUCCUCACCUCCACCUGAACCACAUACACACACAACCAAUCAAGCACAGUUGAGUUCCACUGCUCUGUUCAUACACAAUGACACAAUGGAAAAGGAGCAUCAAGCUCCAUGGCAUGGCAGAAAGAAUCAAAGAAAUGGACUGACCGUCGCCUGCUGGCCGCUGGGGCUAGGGAAAGGGGCCGGCGGGCACCGCUCCUCCUUGAUGCGGCCGGGGAACGGCUGCAGGGUGGGCGUCGACGGGAGGAAGCUAUUAGCUGUCGAUGGUCCACCGAGUGCGGCAGAGCUGGGAGCAGACUCGAGCUCGGAGUGGAGAUCGCUAAUCCUCUGCAGGAGCUCCUUCAGGUAGUCGAUUGCAUCACCAAGGAUUGAAGCCCUAUCCAUCUGACGGCACAGGAGAAGGAAACAGGUGAUGAGCUGCUGAUCAACCACUACAAAUUAUCAUGCAGCAGUGCAAAGACUGUUAGAAUUAACAGCAUUUUUAGACAUAAUAACUACGUUCUGUCGAUAUGCUAGGAAAACUGUUGGAUUGCACAGGAAAACAAAAGUGGUGAUGAGCUGCCGAUCAACUACUGCCACAUAUUACUACCUCUGCUCCUAAAUAUAAGACGUUGGCAGUUCAAUUUGACGCAAUUCGAGCUGCCAAAACGUCUUAUAUUUAGGAACAGAGGAUGUAGCAUAAAACCAUAGAAACUUCGAAUUAUUAACAUCUUGACAUAAUCAUGCUCUGCUGAUACACUAGGAAAAUGGCUACUCCCUCCGGCCCAUAAUAUAAGAGCGUUUUUGUAUGCACCAUGAGAUUCACUUCAGAGAAGAUCCUUGUUUACUGUUCAAAACUAUCCUGAUGAUUGUGAAGAAAAGCAAGUUGAUUACAUGAAACAACUGGAGGAAAAUGCACUUUACACGCCAAAACAUGCAGAAACUGGACUUUUCCAAGGAAACAAACAAAAGGCAGAAACCUCCAACGCUCGAACAACUGUCAAGUACACAAGGGGGGGAAAAGGAGCUUUGUUGGUUAUCCAGUGAAAGGUGGCUUUCGAUGACACCUUGUGCAUGGCACUGUGUUCAUUUUGCACCAUUAAGCAAACAUCAAAAGAAAAAUUCCCCAACAAACACACUUGGCUGGUAGGUUGUACUGAAAUUUACCAAGGCAGAACAGUAAAGCAAACAUUCAACAAGCUGGGGAGGGAUUCAUGGUGCUAAAUUUGCAUGAAUUUGUAAUGACAAAAAAUGUUUUGCAACGCAUGAAUUUCACGGAGCCUAAAGAUUAUUUAGACAAUUGAAGGGUUUUAUCACUCCCCGUUUCACGUGAACAAAUUCAAUAAGAAAAUUCCCGCGCUCCGACCGGGGCCAAGAGAUUUUGCGGACAAUGGAACAGUUUUAUCGCUCCCAUUUCACGUGAAUAAGUUCAAUUCCUGCAAGACAUAAGAAAAUUUCCCGCGCUCGAAACACGGCUAUAGGUUUUUCUUUUCAGAUAAUGUACAAGUUUUAUUACUUCCUGGACAUGGCCCUAGAUAAGAACCAACAUGACACUAAGGGUGCCAUAAAUCUCAACUAAAAAUGGGUACUUUUGUGACAUAAAUUCAUCCCAAUUCAAGAAUUCAUCACCAAAAUUCACCAUCAAGUGCAGUAACAAUCCAUCCUAAUAUACUCACAUCAUAAACUAAAACUUGUAAAUUGACAAUAAUAUGUAUAGGAACAAGUAGGUGACUAAUUUCCACAGAACUGACGGCGGGAGCAUUCCUCACCUUGCUGAUCUUGGGCACCACGGAGCGCAGCAUGUAGAGGCGGUCGUUGAGCUUCUUCCUGCGCCGCCGCUCCGCCAUCAGGUUCUUGGCCGGCAUCCCCUUCUUCUUGCCCUUGCCGUUGCCGCCGCCGCCGCCGCCACCUCCCCCCGGCGCGCCGACCACGGCAUUCUCCAGCGAGGCCGAGACCCCCAAGGAGGAGGCGUCCACGCUCUGCUGAUCCAGCUCGUCCUCGUCGUCCCACCCCAUGCCAUCGCCGAACGCCGACAGCGGGGGCGCCAAGAACCCCCCUUUCUGCCCUCCCGGCGCCACCGUCAGCGGCGGCGGGGCCUCGAGAAGGAACGGCGGGGCGUCGACGUUGAAGGGGUUGCCGCCGGACCCGAAGUCGUGGUAGGCCGGGGGCGCGGCGGCGGCGGAGGACGACGACGACGGGAAGGCGGCGUUGUAGUCGAACAGCGCGGCGUGCUCCAUGGACAUGAGCAGCGACGCCGAGGUCGGCGCGGGCGUGACGCCGCCCCUGGCGCCGCAGGGGAACCCGAACGCCGGGAACCCGGCCGUCGCCAUCGCCUCCGACGUGAGGUACCCCCAGUCGCCCCCGCCGCCCCCCACCAGCUCGUCCUCCUUCUCCACCCCCACCGCCGCCGCCGAGUUCUCCAUCACGCCCUCCCCUCCCACGGAUUCUUGGCAAGUUCGCACGGUCAGUUACUGCAACUUAUCUCUGCAACUCCAACCCUCCUUGGGUACUGGGUUCGGGAUGCUACCUUCCCUUCUUAUAGGCACGCAGAGGCCAGUGGCAGCGUGUACAGCUAAAAUAUGUUACAUCCGGAUGCUUUUGGAGAUCACGGCCGUCCGAUGCACCGUCGCACGAAUCUCAAAGGCACAUCCGACCGUCAAGGCAAUGGGUGAAAGCAACGUCGCCGAUACAUCGCGCAGCGACACGAGUAUGCCUCCUUAACACAUUUCUACGUUUAAAAGAGAUAAAAUGUAAUUCUACGAAACUCGCAAAAUUCCUCAUUGUUAAAUGCAUUUUGGCGCGAAAUUUGAACCGUGGUGACUAGGGCCAUUGCCUCCUCCCCAACUCCGCCACUCCACCGGGAACCUGAAGUGUGGUGUGAUUUAUUUUUAGUUUUGCAAGUAUACCGCCCCUUUUUCUUGCGGAGAAGUAUGGUUCUUUUUGGAAGAGUGAUAAACGGACCAUAGCCAUGGAUAUGUUUGUCAGUGGCUAGGCACACGUAUGUAUGUGACAUGGAAAGGAAGAGGAAGAUUCGGCGGGCACGAAAAGCAUGAGAAUUUUGUGUGCCAUGCGCCGUGGUUUCUUACAUGGAGAUGAAGUGCGUGUAUGCAUCACUUGGGAACAGUAAGCUUUUGUCUUCUUCAACAUAAAAAACCAUGAGUUUUGUUUUUACGCAACGUUUGCGCCGUCUUGUAGCGUAUGAAAGUUGUUGCACCUAAUCGAAGGAUCAGAUAGUGAGUUGGCAUGAAGGUUUCCCUGUGUGUGAGCUAAGAUGGAACGAUGGGAAGAGAUUACACAUCGCAAGUUUUUACAAGAAAGGUUUUGCUGGCAGGGUGACACGUGUGCGGUGCCACUGAUGGAGAAUGAGCUGGCCUUUUUUGUUUCUCAUUAUCUUUGAAGGGUGUUGUGCAAAAAAUCAAAUGCUCUCUGUUGGUUUUUCUUGUAGUGUUUGCCCACAAGAUAACCUUCAAACAAACAAAAAGAGAGAAGCGUACUGCAAACAAAAAAGAGAGGCUUACUUCGAACCAAGAAAAGAAGCAAGAAAUGCUUUGCCACUCACUUUGCAAAACUAACUUGUCUCGGCUUUGGCUAAAUUGUGUAACAAAAUUUGUUUCAAUUUUGUGUAUGGCACGAAAGUUAGUUAACGGAACGUAUUUAUGUGGUGUUCCGGACGUGUAGAUAUUCAUCAACCAACUCGAUAGGUAUAGUUGUUGCCGCAUAACUACGAAAAAUGUAGUUCCUGGCCUCAACCUAUUCAACAUAAUCCAACUCUAGCCUUCGUCUAAGUGCUGCUGCAGCUGGAUAUGAUAUGUUAUCCAUAGUUUGGGCUGUUUGCUUACACUAUCUUUGUUCACAUGAUAAUUCAAUGGUUGCAUGCUUCUCUAAAAAAAAUGUGGUAAAAAAGGGAGAUCAUUCUGUUCACGGUUUGAGAAUGAGGGAAGGGUACAUGAUUGAAUUCCUCCUCAGCCCCUCGAGUGUGUGAGUGAGUGUGUAUGUGCACAAUGCCAAUUACAAGCUCUCCCAUGCAUCUUGUGACCCUGCCGGAGCUGAGAAAGAGAACAUCAUCGGAUGCAACACAAUGGAAUGGAAUUAUUGGAGAGAAAACUCGAAAAGGUUUGCCCUCCCCACCAGGACUCACAUGUGUGCAAAGUGAGAGGAAGGGAAUUCAAUUUUUCUUGUCGUUCGCCGGCCUAAUUUGAUGUGGACACUAUGCGAGCUACUACCAUAGAAGAAAUUACGCGUUGCCAAGUUGGUUGUGUGCAUCGUAUCUUCGGAGACCACGAGUUUAUCUUCCAUUAUCUAAAAUAAAUAGCAAUCUGAUGCGACCACUUGAUAUAUGAUUGAAGAACUAAAUCACAAGCCGACAAGUUCACACGCUAAAGCAGCUCGUUGUUAAUCGGUGGGCUGCAACAACUUGUGAUAUGGUGUAAGAGAAAUUACGAGUUCGACUUUUGUAAAACAAAUUGUUGUCGUACGACAAGUCAUGAUUUUUUUUUAGGAUAACAAGUCACAAGUUGAUUGGAUAUUUCUCAUGCGUAGGUGGUCAUUUUCUAAAGAACGUACGAGACUUCAAAUUCGAUUAGUUGUUGUGUAUGACCAAGUCGCAGGUUGAUUGGAUUCCUAUCGUGAGAAAUGUUUAGACGCACCCAAAUUGUACCUUUUUGUGAUCUAGUGGCUUGUAGUAUUAUUACCUCUUGACAGGUAUAGUAGGAUAAGGGUUCAUGUAAAAAUUAAACUCUCUAGGUUAUAAGUCUUAGUUGUAAAAUAAAAGUCUUUGAGGUUUGUCUAAACAAAGAAAAAAUAGAAAUCAGUAAAGACAAUGGUAAACAAGGAGACUAUUGUUUGUGCAUAUUACUACCUCCCUUACAAAAUAUUAGGUGCAGUUUUAAUAGUACUAUAUUCAUAUUUUGGAGCGGUUUGAGUACUACUUCUUUUAGAACGUAAUUGAUGUUGUUUUAGUUUGGGCUAAAUAUAAGAAGUACCUCCCUCGGAUAGAACUACAAAUGAAUGCGCCACUGAAUUAGUUAAUGCGAUUCAGCCGUUGAAGGGGCAUGAAUGUGAUCGCCGCUGUUUAAACUCCCUGUACAUCUCAGAUACGUGCCGCUGAAAGGUCGGUUGCAACUUUGUACAGCUACAGCUAGCAAGAUUUGAUUAGAUCGGGACUGUUGAUUGGUUUGAUGAGAGGGCCACUUGUAGCUGCAACUUGGAGGAGCCAGCUGCAUACAAGCAGUAGAACUGUCGUCCAUCGUCUAUACCCUGAAGUACGUACCAACAUCAUUCAGAACUAAAUCAACAUCAACACAAUGCACAUCAUCAUACAUACAUACGUACAUACAUAGAUGUGGUGCCGAGGCCAUUGUGUGCAAGUAUACAUAACACAUAACAGAAGCAGAUAAAUAUAUGUCGUGUUAUAUCCACGAGGCAUGCAUGCGGUCUCAUGAUCAGUUACGUACGUACUCCCUCCGUUCCUAAAUAUUUGUCUUUCUAGACAUUUCAACAAGUGACUACAUACGGAGCAAAAUGAAUGAAUCUACAUUCUAAAAUAUGUCUACAUACAUCCGUAUAUGGUAGCCAUUUGAAAUGUCUAGAAAGACAAAUAUUUAGGAACGGAGUGAGUAUAUGCGAAAUGAUGUUUGGUUCUUCAUGCAUGCAAGCAAGCAUGCAUGUAUUUUCCCUGCACGUACGCACGCAUACAGUAUACAUACAUAGCCGUACCUAACUGUAGUCUAAGCUAUAGUAGAAAGCAGUGCUAGCUAGUAGGCGCUAGGCAGUGGCGAACGCCAACCGUAUGAGACGGCGAUGGUACGACAGCGAGGCCCGAUCGAUCGGUCGAUGGAUCGCUGGCUGGCUGGCUUUAACGUGUAGGCGAGGGAAUGAGCGUCCAUGGCCACCAUGGAUGGACGAAUGAAUGCCCAGGGGCGCGAGGUAUGAAAGGGAGUGGAGAAUAAAUAGGAGGCAGCAAAGGCGAGCGCCGGAGAGCGGCAGCGCGUCCCAGGCUUCCCGUGAAGCCCCUAAACCAUUCUUGACCCUCCACCCCCCAAAAAGAAGAAGAGAUGGAUGCGUCUAGCGAUCCAUGGAUGGAUCGACAGGGCGAUCAAUUCCCAGCUAGCGCGUAUGGUGUGGACCGGACCGGACCGUCCGUCAUCCACGCCAAUCGCCGCCGGGCAGCGACGCGGCGCUGGCUCUGCCCUCGGCGCCAGGAAACCGGAGGAGAUCCGCCCCGGCGCACGGCACCGAUCGAGGAGAUUCCGUCGCAGUCGUGGUGUGUGUAGACAGGGUCUUUGGUAAUCAUGACAGGCACGAUGAGAAGCUCGACCGAAAACGUACUGGGCCUCGCAAUGUGGUGUCCGUGCAGGACGAGUUUGAGUUGGGCUCUGUCCAUUCCUGGGGUGUAUGGAAAUCGCAGGUCAUGUGACUAGCGAGAGGGACGUGCAGCGAGACAGGAGAGCGGAGGGGAGCUUUCACCUGUCGUCCAACCGUCUCUGCGGCAGUAGUAGACUCCCAAAGAGUCGCGUUCCCAUCCCAACCUCAGACCCUGCAUCAAACCACGCAGAAAGUCAGCUCACUAUGCAUCAAACAAGAUUCAGAUUUUCAUGAUAAGGCCAGUCUUUACCACAGAGAUUACAGCAGAAGCUCAGCAGGGCAAGUGGACUACCAACAGUAGUUAACAGGUGGCACAUCUCUUUCUCUCUCUCUCGGUGAAGCACGUACACAAGAUAGCUUGCACUUUUUUCAUCCGUUCAGUUCGUGAGACCAGACAGCUGAGUAAGCAUGGGAGACGGAGUAAUCACAGAAAUUCACAAUUACCAGGUGAGGUGAGGUCAUCAUCGUCUUUGCCAGGACAAAGCCAAUUACACAUUCCACGGAACUAAUGCAACAAAGAGAUAAAAUCGGCUACACAAACUCGUCGGAAUCUGGACAAGUCCAUUGCUCAACGCUGGAGGACUGAAGCAUCGCUGCUGCUUGGAGACCGAUGAUUCCAUGGUAAGUUUGUCCAAAACUGGGGUGAUACACUAGCAUAGACCACAACCGAUCAUGAACUCAUGACGCGCGCCCUCCCUAUUCGUCCUCCAUCGCUGCUGAGGCAGCUUCGUCGAUGUCUGCACGUGUGCCCUCCCACAACUGCUGCUCUAUGCCCAAUUUCCUGAGCUCUGUCAGACCUCGCUCCACUGCAGUGGCAAGACACACGUUGUUCAGUAAACACAGGGAAUGGGAAUUCACGCCAAUAGCUAGUUUUUUAACAGUAAUACGUAGGUAAUAGGGAACAAGCAUCAUACCAUCUAUAGCAUCAUGAGAAUUUGGAGCAACCGCGUUGCGAGCAAUCCAAAACUGAAGCCGUUCGUCAGCAAUAUCUUCCUCGAUACCAUGAGUUUUGGCUCUUCUCCAGAAGUAUAUAAGCCAUGCCUGCAUUUGGUGGUAUGAAGUCCAUAAAUAACAAUAUUUGCAAGGAAAAAAAUCAACAAUUUUCACAUUACUGAAGGCUUACAUGCUUGAAGCUAACAUCCUCCGCCUCCUCGUUGCUAAGGUCUGCAAUAUGUCAAAUAGUUUCAGUUUAACGGAAUUAAAAUCAAGUUAAAAUGUAUACAUAUAAUACAAUGUCAAACAGUAAAAGGGAAGUUCAGAAAGAUAAUCUAUAAGAGAAUAAAGGAGGUAUUACCAAAUGCCUCCAAGAAUUUAGGUUCGCCAGGUGAUUUAUAAUCUGAAAAGAAAUUUUAACUUGCUUAGUAAGAAUGCAAGCAAAGACACGUAAUUGCAUCUGAAUUGACUCGUUGGGAAAUCAUUCCAAUGGAAAAAAAUAGUGCAUGCACCUGCAGAUGAUACACGACAAUCGACACUUUUUUGUUUCAUGUAAUGACCACUACCAAAUCUGGGCGUUAGUGAAACAGUUAUUGGAAAGACCAUUGAAUUAAUUAUGUGAGGGAUUUGUAAUGUUUCAAAUGGAUACACCAAAUUAUAGGACAUGCAAAUCUCGAACUUUGGCAGGAGACCCUGUUGAUUGUUGAUAAGGCUUUUUCCCUUUAAUAAACACACCGUACAAAAGUUUUGCUAAUGAACCUUGAAAAUAGUUAGGUCAUGUACCCUGCCACUACAGCGCAGACUUAAAAGCAGAUAAAGAAAGAAGCAAAUAAAUUGCAGACAGAGGAUUACAAUUUGUUCAGUAAAGUGAAGCCUAAUAAUAAAGCUGUAGCACCAUGUAUAGUAAGCAAGCAGUUCUCCAUGAUUGAAAUAAUACAGAAGGCAAACCUGAUGUGAAUUGCCGAACUAUGCUAGGUCUCCGGUGUUGACCAAGUGCAACCACAACAGCAUCUUCCACCUACAUGACAAUAACAAAAUUGAGAACCACAGUGACUGCUAAGGUUUUUGAGUCGAUGAGUCAACGGGUCGCUCAGGGGGGGGCGACUCUAGACUAGUCAUGACUAGUCUAGACUCAUGGUCGACAAGUGACAUGAGUUAAGCAGUAGAUAGUAGGUACAAUAAAACUACCAUACAUAAGCACUAUCCUGUAUCAUCUCUUUUCCUUUUGCUCUGAUCUGCUCUAGACCUCUAGUGCUUCUGCUUGGUAGCUUAGGGGAGGAGGGGAGGAGCAGACCAGCAACAGCAACCAGGGGAGGAGGGAGGAGCAGACUAGCAGCAGCAGCAACCAGGGGAGGAGCAGAUCCGCAGCAGCAACAAGGGGAGGAGGGGAGGAGCAGCAAGCCAGCAACCAUAGGUGGCUGCGGCUGCCAAGGAGAGGGUUGGGUCGGGGGGGAGGGGGAACUGCUUCGGUCUAGGUUUCCAGGGGGGAUGGGCAAGCAAAUACGGUAAAACAAACAUAUAACAGGUGGGCCCCAAAAAAAUUGAGUCGUUCGACCCAGAAAACACGACUAGUCAUGACUAUUCGAGACUAGUCGUUUGAGUCGAGUCGAGUCGCCAGGCUGAGUCGACCCUGCCAGUGGGACUCAUCGACUAGUCGACGACUAGUCGCGAGUAGUCGAGCGACUCGAAAUCAGAGUGCUAAGCCAAGCCAGUGAGCAGUUGCAGAAAGGAGAGGAACUGUAUGGUAAUAGAAGAGCAAAACUGCACAUAUGGCCUGUUUCAUUUGUACAAUAGUUGAAAGAAUCCCCAUACAAAUGAUACUUUUGAGCCCCACUGUUGCAUUAGAAUUCCCAUCGAUCCCUUCCUACUUUUGGCACAAGGAAAACUCUGCCAACAAACUAGAUUAUGCUUCCACCUAAGCAUUCCAUUGUGCUAAAUCAGGAGAGGCUAAGAUAAACUUUGCAGAAUAGUAGAGGAGCUAUUAACUGCCUAGCGAGCAUAAAUAGUUUGCCCAAUAAUGUGCAAGCCAGCUAAUGCCCCACGAGUUUUGCUGCAGAAGCUUGUUCCUGCAUUUUAAGUUUGCAUGUGUACAUCUGCAGUUUUGCAAUUGAGAAAUCUAGAAAAUAGCAGUUAACAUAAGCUGGUGAGAAGGGCAGACGAAUACCUUCAAAGAUGAAAGCUCCCUAAGUCCCAUUUCAACUGAGAGCAUGCUCUCAAUGUUGCCUUCUCCCAUUACGUCACUCAUUUCUCGCACAAGCCUAUUUCUCCUCUGAGCAUCAUCCUCACCUGCUUGAAUGAAUUCUAAGAAUAGUUCAUUGGAGUGUGCAUGGAAUAAACUGGGAUUUACAACUUAUACAAUAUAAAAAUGCAGACUUACCUUGCUUACGAGGCUGCUCCUUAAUAGCCUUUUGACCAGCAGAGAGAACAACCUCGAGAGGAAGAGGGGCUAAAGAUGACCAAUGUUCAUGCUUUGACACCGCGAUCUCGGGGUAAACUCCUGCAAGUUUAUUAGGAGGCCAUCAGAUAACCAAAAACCAGGAUGGGAAUAGAAGUACAUGCAAAAAUUAGCCUUGCUUGCUCGUGUGAACUAGACUUGAGCAUUUUCCAGGCAGAGCCUUUGCUAGGUCUUGUUCCUUUUGGUCCCCUAAUCUAGGCACAGGCCCAGCCCUACACAUAGUUGGGCUGGGCUGGACUGGUUGGCAAUUGGCCGGUUAGCUCCACUAGUCUAAGCCUGCACCAGCCCCAGAUUUGGGGUGAGGCUGAGCCAAAUGUGCCUACCCUACUGACACCACAGAUUAUUAGUAUCCACAGCAUAAAAUUACGAAGUCUUUACAACUAAUUAGCUCUCAUUGAUCCUACCACAGUCCACAUCGCACUUGAUCUUUUGUCAGACAUAGAGCAAAGUGCAAAAGAGUCCCUAGGACAUCAGGCCAACCUAACAAAGCUAAAACAUCAACCAUAGAGUCAAAAUACCUGCUAAAUAUCCAUGGAAGCUAGCUAUCUAAGGAAGCAUCCCAUCCAUGUAAAAUUGCCUCUAUAAUCCUCUUCGGCGCCCUUCCUGCUGGUGCUUAGCUUAUUUUACUUUCCCUUAUUUUAUUCUGUAACAGGGUAAUAUCCUACACAUUCCUACUGUUUUCAAGACUUUGUUUUGUAGUCUAUGUUCCAUUGGCAUUUGUGGUGAAUCAUGAUAAUCGUGUUUGAUUGAGCUGCUUGUAGAUACAUGAGGGCGUUUGGGUAGCUGUUCUUUUUCUCAUCAGUUGCAGAGAGAGAUAUUGUUGCGUUCCAAAAUACUCCCUCCUUCCCAUAAUAUAAGGUACGAUUGACUUUUUACGGUCUUUGAUGCAUGACUUUGACCACUAAUAUAUACUCCCUCCCUCCCAAAAUAAGUGUCUCAACUUUAUACUAACGUUAGUACAAAGUUGUACUAAAGUUAAGACACUUAUUUUGAGACGGAGGGAGUAUUAAAGUACAUGGAUUGAACAUGAAUGAACAGCAUCGUCGUGUUUGUCUUGCAAAAUAAUUUUAUUUCAUAUGUAUGUAUACUAAUUUUAUAGACAUACAAUACAUGAAAAUUAUAGUCAAAGUUGUCCAACGAAGACCGGAAAAGUCAAUCUGCAACUUAUAUUUUGGGAAGGAGGGAGAGGGAGUAUAUGAGAUAAGAUGUGAGAGCAAAACCGUUGGAUAUAAAUGCACAUAAGCUUUGAUUUCAGUAAAUGCCUAGCGAGCAUAAUUAGAGAAUAGAUCACAAUGGGCAAGUGGACAAUGACAUCAUGUUCAACAAUAUUCCACUAAAAUGGUUUUGUAGGCAACUUACCAUAUUGAACCGCUAAGCCCCAAUAACGUGCAAGCCAGCACCUUUUUAGGACAACCUCUUCCUAGCAUAAAGUUGCAAACAGAUCAAAAUCCAUGUCAAGAACAAAGUGAUUACGAUAGUACAUAAAUCAGACCAACCAUUUCUUCUUGGGUUAAGAUCAUUCUCUGAGUCAUGGACCGGAGAGCCUUUGUCUCGGACUCUGCCUCCUUUAGCUGGUCCAUAACAGCUGCAACCUCCUCUUUGGCAGACUGUUUAAUGCAUGAGUGAACACAAAUGAGUUAAAUAUAAGAACAUAUACAAACCAACAAAAGCUGCUGGAUGUUGAGUAUCAUUACCUCAAGUUCAUGCUUUAUUGUUGAUACUUCUCCAUUUCUACCAUCAUUUGAUUCCCUUGCAGCCUUUAGUGCAGCCUGACGCAUAUAUACAAAUAAAAUACAGAAGAUCGCUCAAGUGUUGGUCAACUAUUCAACUGUUAAAAGCAUACAGAAGAUCACUCAUUCGGCGAAAUUAUGGAGUAAGGAUCUAGCAUGGCGAUAUGCAUUUAGACACAACAAGAACUAGAAAAACGAUGGCAUUGGAUUUCUGCAGAGGAUUUGUCCUCUUGUUUGAAUAAUAGACGACAUUAUAGAGGCAAUUUCACCAUACACAUCAACAUCAUGGCUAAAUAAACAGAAUGAAAAGCUGACUUGGCAGCAACCUAUGAGUAAAACACAAGAAUAACUAACCUCCCGCUGUUUAAGUGCCGCUUCCUUCCUGCCAGCAUUCAUGUAAAUGUUAUUCUAUGCCCAUUUCUGGAUUUGUGAAAUUGGCAUAUUCAGGCAUGGAACAAACCUGCUCAAGAGGCGAGCUUCUAAGGAUACCCCAUCUCCGAGAGCAGCUACCUUCGUAUAUUAGUAAAUUAUGAUAUUAGCAAACAUAAGGUGCAUAGAGCUCAUUUUGCAAGGAACACGUGCAUUCUCUUGACACAGAAGGAUUGAUUUAUUCCAAUAUUUCAGAACUCUAUAGUUGAGAUGGACUCAAAAUAUGUUUCACAAAUGAGCAAACAUGUCAAAAUAUAAAACACAUCAGGAGAUUUUGUUAGUGGAUCCUAAUUUCACCUGUUUCUCAAGCUCCUUGGCCCUAGCUUCUGCUUCCUCACAUUUUUCUUCAGCACGCCGUAACUGUUGUUCCAGAUUCAGAAUAAGCUUAGAUAAGCCCGUCAUAGAAAAGAUUAGUGCAUUGCACUAUAAUGAUGGUGUUUGUCAUUACCUUGUCUAGAACGCUUUCAUUCUCCUCUUGUAGCAUAUCAAGCUGCAAGAUAUCAGUGCAUUAGUCUUCAUAUAGCUUAUGCACUCUUCAACUAUUCAGUUCUCUAGUAAAAAAAAAUCUAACAGUUAAACAAGAAACUAUGAAUAAAUGUCAUUCCAGCUUUCAAAUUUGUUCCUAGAAACAUGAGAUUGCACGAUAUCAAUGUGACCUUUUGUACCAUCUUUUUAACAUGGGAUGCGCCUCAUCUUCAUUGUCUAAAUUGUUAUUUCCGAAGUCAUUUACUACUACAGACUAGUAACCCAAACCACAAGAGAGUAGGUGUCCUAAUGAAUGUCUUGAGUGAGAAAUAUGGAUAUUUGCAUAUGUUCCUUGGUUGCUGUGCAAAAGAAUUAGAAUGUUAUCUAGUUAGAAAUAGAUGGAGUAGUUUCCAUAGAAAAAAGAAAACCUCAUCUUGAAGCGUAGAUGACUCUCUCCGUGGCGCUGAUUCUCUAGAGUUAAGUGGGGCUGUAUCAAACCUGGAGCAGGAAAGGUCAAAACAUAUACAUGUUGCUCUUUUCAUUAGGAUAUAUAGAAAAGGGGUGCAGGGAAACUCAAGCUAGAAAAAAAAGUUGAUAAUGUGGUAAUUCAAAAAUUUCGAUGCACAAAUGCAACAUGAAAUGCAAUGCCCACGGUAACUUACAGAAAAUGUAGGAGUGAGUUUCACAUGAUGUUGAAUUAUUUAAAUAAAUUAUAAUGUGCUGCAUGUAGAUGUAAUAACUAAUCGGUAACCUCCAUUUUAGGGCGUCAAAACCAAUGAUUUGCUAUAAUUGGUAAUACUCCCGGCAACUAAAUAGAUUAUGCAGCACAAGUCAGCAAAGCACAGUAAUGUCUUACUGGCCAUGAGGCAUACUACUCACACAGCCAUGAUGUUGACCUAAUCUAAAAUCAGAUUCACAAUUUAGAUGAGAUAUUUUUUACAUUUCAGUAACCACUGCAGCACGUAGUAGGCUAGUAUGCAUGCACAACUGGACUCAAUGCUUCAAUUUAUUAGGUAGAAGAUCAGAAGCUCUCUGCUGUAACAGAUGUUCCAACUUAUGAUACUGAUGUGGCAAUGACAUCCUUUACAAAUAACAGCCCAGAAGCUUAAUAGUGUGUCCAGUUCAUGUUUACCUGCUGGUUAAUGGGCACAUAAGGGUUGGAUCAUAUGUUAAUGCUACAUUGAUACAUCAUCAUGCUGGGUAAAGUUAAAUAAACAUUGGCCAUACCAGAAUUUCAUUAACUACAACAUGUAAAAAGACCUAAUGACAAGUCCAGUCAAAUUAAGCCCAUAGGAAGAGUUGAUUAAUUCAGUAAGCUAGUAUCAUCAGUUAUUCUAAUAAGUGGCACAGGAAGUAAAAUUCACUAACUAUUGCUCGGACGCACACUAGUAUCAUGUGUUCAUUAUGUAGAGCUCCAGCAUACAUGUACAUUCUGCAGAUCAGCGGGUAUGUCACUGCAUGUACCUUUUCUGUCGAGGGCGCUCCACUGGAGAUUCCACAGCCACAGGCGGGAUAGGAGACGGGGUUCGGAUCGUAGUGCUGGUUUUGAUUGGUGGAACCACUGUGGCGGUCGGUCGUGAUGCAAUGGCGGCUGUCCUCCCGGCUGAUGCUGAGCGGACUGUAGGAGGCGGCUCUACAAUGUUCCGACCUAACUAAUGAAAACACGAGGAGAUCAAAUUAGCAGAAGGCCACAGAGCAAGCAAAUUGAGCAGAUCAGAGACACCAAUUCAAAAAUCGUAAUCACUCAUCAGUCUGCCGAACACUGCCGAUGAAAAGGGACUAGAAAUACGCAUGGCAUUAGACAAUGGGAAGUAGCUUGAUUCGCAAAUUCAACUAAUGACGCAUGCUCUGACACCGAUUUGACCACGAUUUGACCAGCCAUGACUAAAUUCGCCCAUAGCUCGAGCUCAAAACAGCCGAAUCCGAAGCAGGGGCGCGGCCUCGAGCGGGGCCAGCGGGAGAUCCGGGGAGCAGAAUUACCGCAGGGGAGGGAGAUCUCGCGGUGCGGCCGAGCAGGGAGACGCCGUUGCUGCCGUGCCCCGCGCGGGCGCCGCUGCCGAACCUGGCGGGGGGCGGGGGCGGGUGGUCGUUGGCGUAGUCGUCCUCGUCGUCGUCGUCCCCGGCGGCCGCGGCGGCGCUCUGGGAGGACAUGACCUGCGCGAGCCUGGCGGCCGCGGCGCGCGCGGCGACGUUCUGCGUGCGGCGCACGUUGGAGAUGCCCCCGACGCCCGCGGCGCCGGCGCCCGGGAGGGAGGCCGCGGAGGAGGUGGAGGAGGAGCGGUGGUGCGAGGGGGAGACGCCGCCCGGGGAGGUGGAGCCCGUGCUGCUGCCGCUGCGCUGCCGCCCGUAGACGGGGCUCCCCGCCCGGAGACGGUCCAUGGCGGGCGGGCUCGCCGGAGCGGGGAGGGAUCUGGGCCGCCGGGAGAGCGGUGCGGGGGGAGGCCGCGCGGCAGCACGACGCGGAGAUGGCGAGGCGGGGAGGGGCAGGGGCGGCAAGUGGUGGAAGGUAGUAGUGGGGCAGACUACGCUCGCGAUUCCGGUGGAGUUUUUUCGGUUUUUUGCCUUCUCGCAGUUUGGCCCCUCGUCUUUCGUCAUUUUCAGCAGCUGCGCAUAUUUCAAAAUAAGGUUUACAAGGUAAUUUUGCAUAUAUAUAUAUAUAUAUAUAUAUAUCUUCAACAGUGAGUUUAUAAUGUGAGAUGUUAUAUAAUCGCACGUGAUUGUUUUUUGGUAAAUAUAAGAACUUGGUUUAUAUAUUAAUAUUCCAAGCGAGGCCAAACGCACCUCGUAUUGUAUUACACUCACGUGAGGUGGCGGCGCUAGCAUGAAAAACUUUUGGGGGGUGGGGGUAAUCUUUUGAAGUUACAAGGAGUGAUACAUUAAAAUGAGAAAAUCAAGGGGUUGUUAUAGAAAAGUUAUGGCCGGUUGGCCCCAUGGGCUACACGUAGGUUCGCCAAUCACCACCGCACACGUGUAGAAUCGCCCUUGAGGGAACCUCCACAUGUCCUUGAGUGACACCUGAGGAUGCCAGGUCAGCACACAUGUGGCAUUAUAUAUGAGGUGCUAUGUCCGUCGUUGAUUAGUACCAACCACGCCUACAACUAGAAACAUGUGAAGACCCCGCCAGCAUAGUAAAGGGACGCCGCUUGACAAGAGGUCUCUCUUUUUAUCCCCAAAGAGGAUAUGAGGAGGUUGAAGACAAAGUUGAAGCAUUUGAUAGAAAAAAAUAUGCCUCGUAAAAUAGGCAAUAGAUGACGACAAAGCUUCGAACUCCAUUUCUCUACAAUUACCUGCCUAGCCCAUGAACCCGAGACGCAACCUCCGAUAGAGGUUGAAGUGGAGUUGAGCAUGAAAAGAUGGCACAUGGUCAAUAGCUGUCAGGGACCUUGGUUUGGUGCAUAAAAUUAGAAAGGGAACAUAGCAAAAAAAAUGAAACAGUACCAAGGCAUGAGAUGAAAAACACCUUGAGCCUGAAUGACAAGUUCGUAUCAUCAGACACCUUGACCUAAAGGAACUAGAUCUAGCGAAUAAUGGAAAGGGUGGCCCAAACGAACACGCGUUGGCAACCAUGUUUUUCAUCGAAAAAGCAAGUCUAAUCUGCGUGCAUUGCAUACAUACGACAUAUAAAUAAUGUGCAAAUAUGUAAAGUGUAUGUUGUAACUUUGAGAAUGUUUCUUUUCACUAGCCGUACUCGCUCUCUCUCCAGGAAAAUAGGUAUUCUCCCCCUUUCAGAAAGAGCCUAGCCUUCUUUCUAUCACCUGCAUCCACAUGUGAUAUACACAUUUGAAACACAAAGCACAAACAUUCUAUACAACCGAAUAGUGCAAGGAACUACUAAUAAACAAAUACCAUGAAAGGUCAGGGGGUAUCAUGCAAGUGAAACGGAGUGCAACAAUCGUGGAAGCGAAUUUCCAGUCUGGUUUUCCACAUCUCUCGCCGCAGGGGCCGAGAGCGAUGUUCUCGGUGCGUGCUGGCGCCGCGUGCCGCGUGAACCCGAUCGAUCCGCUGCGUGGCGCGGAACGCUCCUUUUCGCCCCUCCGCCACCGUCGAUCUGACUGAUCUGACGGACGGGACACCGCCUCCGCGGGGGACUCGAGCGCGCGGCCUGCUCAGCGGAUCCGCAGGUGAACGGUUGUGGCAGAAUACCGGCAUCCAUCCCCGUCAGGAUUGCUCCUGGCAGGGUACAAAACUAACGGACCGAAGAAAGCGGGCUCCAUGGUGUACCGGGGAGGAAGAGCAAAUGUCGACGUUUGGAACUCGGUGGCUCAUGGAAGAUCACACCCGCGGUUACCAAGAUAAGUUCCAGUGAUUUGAAAAAAAAAAAUCAGUGUUGCACACGAUAGCACCACUAGGACUCGAUUUGUGGUUCUGGACAUGAUAUUUGUCCGUAGACUGACCCAGACUAUGUACGCACUAUUUUUUAAGUCCGUGAUACCCAAAAUAAUUAUAGAAAAUAGGAUGCAAAUAUUCUUAGUACAACAAUAAUUCAAAUAUAAAAAUUAUGUUUGAGAUAACUGGAUGUUCAACAAGUUUUUCGAAUUUAACGAUACCCGAGUUAGAAUCUGCACAUGUCCUCCCACGCCCUGUGCCACUUAAGCUUCACCCAACAAUGUAUGAAUGUAAAUGGCCUGCCCUCAGUCCUAUGGCACAACACGACGGGACGUCUGGGCUAUACAACGUGAUGAUUAUCAAGUUGCAACAUUGUGUGAAUGAAUGAAUUGACCAACAUGUAGAGCAACAAGAAGCAAAACUUACGAUCUUAAUGGUUUUGCGAACCCGGUGUCCACCUUCUCUCCAUUUCUGCAAUCGCACCAUAAAACUUCAUGACAGAGUUGGUACGGUGAUGGCGUACCACCGAUGGGCUGGCGACUUUACAUUGUGAUCGUGAAUCACGUGCAAGUCAUAGGGCGCGAAGUGCUUUUGCUUAUGAACAAAGCAUGCACGUUUCGCCAAAAGGUUGAGCCCCCUUGCCUAUGCCGAAAAAGUAUACGACCUUCCAUGCAUCACACAACAAUUCAUCCUUCAUCACCAAGUACCUCGCCCGCCAUCGUGCUUACUCUAGAAAACAACAAGAAGUUCAACAUAAAAGCUCAAUUGCAUUUUGACUGAACACCUAUCAGGCGUGGUGUCCGCCAUGGAUGGCGUCGGCAAGGGGCGGAGGAUACCUGGCUACGAACGGAUCCUGGAUGGGCGGUGGUGUAGCCCAAGGCGGGCAUGCGCGUGGGUUUGCCGACGUCCAACAAUGCCUGGGCGGCAACCAGAGAGGUACAACGAUGUCAUACGAGGAGGGUGCAUAUGCAGAGCAAGGUGGACAGGGGCAGAGUGGAAGAAAAGUGGCCCGUGAGGGGGAUGUGAGUGGGCCAGGGGUGUCGGACUCCUACGAAGCUCCCUCUAGUUUGCGUCUGGUUGCGGGAUUUCGAACAACCGGACGCGUCUGUGGAUCGAUGGGGUAUAGUGUUGGAUGAAAAACUACAUCUAGGAAGCUUGGUCCGAAUGUAUGCGGGCGUUUUGAGGGUCGGUGUUAAGAUGCCCUUGUGCUUAUUCUAAAAAUUACUAUUCCCUCUGUAUGUCACAUGAGGGCACUCCUCAAAACCUUCUCCAUUUGUCUACCUGAACAGUUCAGACAGUGUCUAUCAAACGGACUUCCCCAAGCCUUCCUCAUUUGUCCGGACUGUCGGGACCUCUUUAAAUUCAGUCCAUAUGUGUGACGGAUAUGGGGAUGUCUGGACAUGUCCUCACUGUUGGAUCAUACAGGUCAGGCCCAUCCAUAAUCCUACAAAUCGACCACCCUCCUCUGUUACGCGCACCGCCUUGGGACGCCGUUGCCGCCCCUAACGCCACCACGGUACAUCCUACUUGCCCGGCGGUGGCGCCAUACACCUAGCACACCAUAUGUUCAACAAAAUGUCCAGACAGGGUUUUGACCUUUUUUAGCUGUUGCACAGUUGUAGGUACACCCGAUGCGCUAAGAAGAUGAAUUUAUUUACAACGAGUUAUUUGAUUCGUCGUCAUCGGAAGGUGAUGACGGUGACUACGAGUUGUUGCUGCUGAUGAUGAUGAGCAUCCUCAAAUCAAUGGAGAAAGAGGCGCAUGCUCUGAACUUUAAAGGUUCAGCGCUGGUCAGGAUGAUACCUAUUAACCGUAAUAGGUCAAAGGGCUAUGUUCAUCUUGUAGAGCAUUUAUGGAUACAUCAUAGAAACCAUUAAAUCCACAAUGUCGUUUGACUUUAAUAUUUGAACUAUGUACUCUGAAUAAGAUUUAUGUUCGAAUUGUGUAUUUUAAGUUUUGAACCAUUUAUUUCUAUGUUCAAACUAUAUCCUUCUAGUAUUCAACAAGUUUGGUUGAAAUAUACGCAAAAAAAAGAAGGUGGACAUAUGGGGAGAAGAGAUAUGAUGGGUACCGCUGGAGCGGAGAGGGUCCAAUGGGACUCAAUCCCUUGUUGUCGACACAUAUCACUUGCCCGUGGAGAUGCCCUAACUGAUGUUUUGGAGAUGACUUCAUNNNNNNNNNNNNNNNNNNNNNNNNNNNNNNNNNNNNNNNNNNNNNNNNNNNNNNNNNNNNNNNNNNNNNNNNNNNNNNNNNNNNNNNNNNNNNNNNNNNNNNNNNNNNNNNNNNNNNNNNNNNNNNNNNNNNNNNNNNNNNNNNNNNNNNNNNNNNNNNNNNNNNNNNNNNNNNNNNNNNNNNNNNNNNNNNNNNNNNNNNNNNNNNNNNNNNNNNNNNNNNNNNNNNNNNNNNNNNNNNNNNNNNNNNNNNNNNNNNNNNNNNNNNNNNNNNNNNNNNNNNNNNNNNNNNNNNNNNNNNNNNNNNNNNNNNNNNNNNNNNNNNNNNNNNNNNNNNNNNNNNNNNNNNNNNNNNNNNNNNNNNNNNNUUGAAGACCGUGGCAAAAAAAACAUCACUUAUUUGUGAUGCCAAGGGAGCAGGCAUAAAAUUUGGCAAUUGCGACUUGAAGAAACACUAAAAUGGACAAAAGUGUAGACAAGCAAGAUUAUGAUUAUCCACCGCAAUGCCAAAACGUAGCCGAAGGCUCACUCUAUGAGUAGUUAAAGAUGGGUAAGCUAAUUCCUGCAAAAAAAAAAAAGGUAAGCUAAACACUAAUUAUAGAGAAAAGAUGGUUGGGAAGACGAUGAUUAUCAUGAUAUAUAGCAAUUUUAGUCAUCGACUUCCGGUAAUUAUGGUCUCGUGGGAUUGGAUACUCUAAGUUUUUUUUUCAGUGUACCACUUGCAUGCAAUACAAAAAGAAUAUAUUCAUGGAGUCUAACUUUGCAAUACAAUUGUUUCUCAGCUACAUAGCAAUGCCAUUUAAUUUCUACAAGAUGCCUAAUUUUUUUAAUUUCUACAAGUUUUAUGUUAAUGUCUUUUUGUGUGUGGAAAAGAUCUAUUCAUCUUCAAUAAUGGCAGUACAAUGAACACAAAAAAUAAUAAAAAUUACAUCCAGAUUCGUAGACCACCUAGCGACGACUACAAACACUGAAGUGAACCGAAGGCGCGCCGCCAUCAUCGCCCCUCCCUCGCCGGAGUCGGACAUAACUUGUUGUAGUAGAGGAUCGGGAAGUCGUUGCGCUAAGGCCUCAUAGGACCAACGCACCAGAACAACAACCGUCGCCGAUGAAGAGAAAGUUAGAUCGGAAGGAUCCAACCUGAAGACACAUGAACAAAGAUGAACAAAGACCGGGUCCGAACGAAUCCACCAAACAACCACCGAACGAAUCCCACGAGAUCUACCGAAGACACACGUCCACACACCCUCCGACGAUACUAGACGCACCACCGGAACGGGGCUAGGCAGUGAGAACCUUAUUUCAUAUUCAAGAAGCCGCUGCCGUCUCCUUUUCUUGAGCAGGACAUAGACUCUAACAAAACUUGAAGAAGCACUUAAAAUGGAGCCCUCCCGCUGGCACUAAACUCACAACUUUUUCCCGGAAUCAAAUGGAGAUGAACGUUAUAUGAAGAUUAUUUUCUAGUUUCUACAUUUUGUGUUCACAUCUUUUUUUUUAACACAGUAUAGACGCAAGCGCUCGCACACCCUACCCCUAUGAGCACCUUCGAAAGACCAAGCCGGCAUAUCAUCUUGAGAUUUACGAAGUCACCGUAGGCUCCUCGUCGUUCGGAAAUCCUAAAAUAAAUCCAGGAAUAAUGUGAGCAACAAGACUUGAACCCUGAUGGGCUGGGGAUACCACUGUCCACCUAACCAUCAACCACACGUUGGUUCGCUUGUGUUUGCAUCUCUUAUUGUCAUAAAGUUUGGAAGGUGGUGAGGGGGCUCCAUGCAGCUACCACGAUCACGGCUCGGGCGCUUGGCUUCCAUCCAAAAUUUCCGGCAAGUAGAUGACGGGUGAUGAAAUUGCACCACCAUGAAAUCGUUGGCAUGCUUAAUUAGGCCACACAUCUGGCUGUGGCAUAACAUCUCAUCAUCAUGGCUGCCCGCUUAAUUAUAGGCCACACAUCUCGCAUAACAUCAUCAUCAUCAUCAUCAUUUUUUGCGGGUCAUCACCAUCGUCAUCCUCCUCUCUCGUUCGUUGCUGAGUAUACGUUGACAAUGCGGCAACAGCAGCAACAACAACAAUAACAAUGUUCCUCGUAUAAAAGCAUCUGGAUCGUACGUACGUACUGGCUCAAUCACCAGUUGGUUAAAGAUGCAUGUGUACGUACCGUAUGGACGAGGCAACCAACCGCUUCUAACCGAUCGAUUGAUCCGAUGAUUGAGAGAGACCAGAUCCGUGGCAAGGUAUUCGUUGCUUGCGCUGCGAGGGGCACCGCAUGCACGUACACACAUGCGAGAGCAGAGCGGGGUGGACGGACGCGCGCGCGCUGCACGUCUGCACGACCGUACGCGCCACAGGGGCCGGAGUGGGCCGUGCGUGGUGGCCAGGCUGGGCAUGUGCGCGCGCGAUCGGCCGGCCAUUCGACCCCGCGCGCACGCGCUCGACCGAUCGCAACUUUCGCAAGUAGACGGUGGUUGCGACGGAAAAAAAAAUUAUACGAGACCAGGUCUCACGGGCUAGCAGAUGAGACCCACCCUGAUGAAUGACACGUGGCAUUCAUAAAUCAUAAAGCAUCUAAUCUCUUCACCCUAUUUUAAGUGGGGGGUGGGGUAGAUGCUUUGUGAUUUGUAAAUGUCACGUGUCAUCCAUCAAGGUGGGUCUCACAUGCUAGCCCGUGAGACCUGGUCUCAUAUAAUUCUUUUCCGGUUGCGACGGCCCAUCCGCUCCGUCCAUCGCGCUACAGUAUAUGCAUGCGCAUCCAACCACAUGACCGGCCGAUUGAUUGACUGUCACCAAUCAGCGAGCUAGGCGUACAAGCAUUUGCACGGCACUUCAGGACCAUCUCUUUGUCUGCCCGCCUGGUUAUUAAUCCUCAUGACAGACAGACGUGCUCUCAAUUCUCCCCGUUGGUUACAUGUAUGAAGAUUAGCUAUCAUAUAAAUGUUAAAUAUUAGUAGAUCGCUCGUGUAUCAUAGUAGCUCGUUACCCGCCAAAAUAGUUACACCAUCUACGAGCUCGAUCAUUGUCACUGCAUUCUUGUGCUGCAUGCAGCAGGCAUGCAGCGGCACCUUUGCAGAAACUGCAGAUGAAUUAGAUUGGCCACCGACUGACCUACAGCUAGCCGAAGUCGAUAUAUACAGGUAACCAUCACAGGGCCGGUGACACCGUCUGUCAGCACCAAUAGUUUGUUAUCCACGUGACGCGCACGCAUAGCCUUUUUCACCGGCAACAUGCAGUUAUACUGCUUUGCGAUUGGCAUGUCUGCUGCUUUGCUUUGAUCAAUCACCCUCUCUCUCCUUGAUUGUAUAUUCGCUCAGCCUCCUGCCUAGCUUCAUUUUGCUUCAUCAACGCCAGGGAUAGGCAUACAUGCAUGGCACAUGGAGCAACAUGCACGGCAGAUCCCUUAGCUUAUACUAAUGCACAUUGGGGCAAUGUACAAUGGUAACAUAUGAAUACAGAUGCCACAUAACAAAAAGAAGCUUAAGGCAUCUACAUUGAUUUUUUCUUCUCAAUGCAAGUUACCACCAGUGGACCUCAUCAAAGAAUAGAAAAUAAAGACUCACAUUACACAUGCAUCUUUACUUUUCAUAUUUCAAUCUUUUCAGCUUUGUACACCGAACCACGUCUCUUCUCCACAAACACCCGCCUCCCGCAGAGAUCUCGUUGCUUCAUCUGAACCUACUUUUUCUGACAUCCGAUCCUACGUGGCCUGCGGGGCAUCACGGUGGGCUUAUGUAUUGGCCAUGCCCUUAGUACAAGCCACAUCUUGCUUAACGUACGUGCUGUCCACUCACAAAAGCAGCUAGCUAGCUAGCUCAUGUUGCCCAACAGUAACCUACAUAGAAAAGUGAGUCAGGGAAUGCUACGUACAGAGGAACAUAUGAAUGUUUAACCAUGGGCUAUGGGGCUAUAUAUAUAGCCUAACAAACAGAUGUACUACCUGUCUGUCUAUCACUGGGCCAUCUUCUUCCGCGGAGGAAAAAAAGGGCACAUGGGCAGGAUCCAUUUGCGUCCAUUUAAAAUGGAACCAGAUCGACCGGAGAGUGUGUGGUGUGGUGUGUGCCAAGGCUCAAGCCAGCAGCUGCCGGAGUGUGUGAGUGCCAAGGCUCAAGGCGGCUAUAUAGCUGGAGUGUGUGUGAGUCUGUGAGAGUGAGUCCGAGUGAGGCAGAUCAGAUCCAUCUACAUUCAUAAUUUUGCUUGGGUGAGUGCGUGAGGGAGAGACCGCCCAAGCAUAGAUCUGCCAGUUGCGUUGUUCUCCACUACACAGUUCGUCGUCGGCGACGGAUCAUCGGCAUGAAGCUCCUGUUCCAGUGCCCCUGCUGCGCAUGCUUCUGCUUCGUCAGGGCCAAGAAGAGCAGCCAAGGCAAGCAGGGAGGAGCUGGAGAUGACGGGGGCAAAUUCCAAGGGAAACCCACAGAUGUGUAGCUCUGGUUUUGGUUCUUAAUCUGCACCACUUUGCUCGCGUGCACGCUGGUCGAGCCAGCUCUCAUAUAUCUUCAAGUUCUUCCAGCAUGACUAGCUUUGCUGUUCUACAUGCUCAUGUUAGUUGCUUCCUUGUAGCACGUCCUUCAUCAUUUGUCUCUUCAACUCGCCAUGUAGCUACUGUCUUUGUAACUCAUGACUUGUCAAUCCGAUUGUUUCGUGCCUUCGUAUUGUGAUUGUGUGUGUGGUCUGCUCUAUAAAGGGCAUAGUAAUUAUGCAAUUUGGUGGAUUCCCCCUUUGUUAGUUUGCCUUUUCAGGUUACAUCUUCUCCUCAGAUUUGAUAAGUAGCAGCCUUCUCAGCUACUCCCUCUGUUCCUAAAUAUAAGUCUUUUUAAAGAUUCCGCUAUGAAUUACAUACGGAGCAAAAUGAGUGAAUCUACACUCCAAAAUAUGUCUAUAUACAUCCGUAUGUAGUUUGUAGUGGAAUCUCUAAAAAGACUUAUAUUUAGGAACGGAGUAGUAGUAUUGUUUCUUGUGCUGAUUUGCCAGUACUUGCAUGGGGGUUUGGGGAGUUGCACAACCAAGCUCUACUCGAGUGGUUAGUGGAGUUUUCCUUAGCUCUACUCCGGAUGUUUUGACAUUCUAUUUAUCUUGUUAAAACAGAUUAUUCUUUCAAAGGCAUGCGGUGUAUCCAUGGACAACGAGACAUCUAUGAUAAUUUCGUCAAUCUUUGAACUUAACCAUUUCAAUCUUUAGUAGAGUAGUACACAUGUGUUGCAUGAGCGCGGAUGUGGUGGUACGGUGUUGCACUCGGUGUUACACAAACAUCCAGCAAAUUCACCAUGCUAGUUAAUUCCCAUGCCAGGAGGAUCUGCAGGGCAUGAGACUUCAUCAUUAACCUUAAGUGGGUCUAUUUUAUUUUGCGAAUACUUAAAUGGGUCUAGUUGUUGCCACGUGGACAUGGUGUGGCCACUCUUUCUAUUUUCACAUGUUUUUUUCCUGACAACCUUCCUAUUUUCGCAUGCCAGUUACACUGCCAUUGAUUUUUUUUUGCAGGCGGUCAGUUACACUGCCCUACAAAAGUGGGUAACUAGUUACAGAUGUUUAGCCUCGAAGCAAGAGAGAAAUCCAUGUGCUGUUGCAAGUAUAUAAGAAGCCCCCUCCCUCCUCUAUAUCCAUCUUUCAUACAAUCCAUGCUGAAGGUCUUAAACUGUCAUACAAUCCUCUUAGUCUUUCAUAAGAAAUCUCAUGGAUCUGUCCAUGAAGGUUGUUGUGGUCGUUCUCCUGCUUCUUGUGACCACAUGCAUCUAGAGAGGAGGGAUUUAACGAUGCUGGGUUACUUACCGGUGGGGUGGGAUUCAGAGUGUGAGUUGUCAUACCACCAGUCCAACGUAAUUCCUCAACUCAACAUCCUCAAGAAUCAAUUAAAGUAUUCCUCAACUCGGCAGCCUCAAGUAUCAAUGGUUGGCCUCCUUUCUUCAAACUAUCAUGCAUACACCACCUCAUCAGAUGCAUCAACCAUCCUGGGCUUGAAAACUUGAAAUAAGGGGAGGUCUAAAGGUUGGGGAGGAAGGGGACUGAGGAGAGAUUGGAUUGCAACACAAAUGGAACAUUGAGGUCAAGGACGAGAGUCUCUAGGGCAUGGAGAGGCAACAUGGGAGGAAAACGGGCCAAUGGGGUAGAGAUGGUUCUUUUGUAAAGAGGCGUGCGUAUGCAAUAUUCACGGGGGCUUCAUGAGGGAUUCCGUCUGAUGGCUGCAGCUACAUAAGACACAUAUUCAGUGGACGGUUUCGUUAAAUUUUCUAAUUAACAUGAGAAUUUUGGCUGAGAAUCAUACAGGCUAAUCUCCAUCGCAGUAAAUCGGUCCCAAUAGUCCCAAUAGAUGAACGACUCUUCAUUUCUAAUUAACAUGAGAGUUUCUAGGGACUCUCUAGUUCUGUGUGUGUCUAUAUAUAUUAACGGAAUCCAAUUCUGCUCUUGGGAGCAUAUGCUCAUGCCCAUAAAAAAUGUUUCUUUUAAAUGUCAUUUUUUUUGAAAAAUAAUAGAUGUGAUCACUGUCACACCAAAACGCUACCUACACAUUUUUAGGAGGAAAGCUUAAGUAUUUUGAUCUGUGCAAAAAAACAAGUUAAACGACAAAUGUUACCUCCAAAUGUUACACUUAAUUUUAUCUUUUCACCGACGAAGCACCGUCAUCCCAUUUCGCAUGAAAAUUGACAAGCACACUUGUUACACUAACAAGAACAUCUAUGAAAAAUUCAGAAUUUUAAAUUUUAUUUACUAUUUUUUAAAUUACUGUUUAUUAAGGAGCAUAUGCACCCAAGAGCCAAAACGGUCCUCCCGGAUAUUAAUAGGUAUAUACAUAGAUAGAGCUAGAGAUAGAUAGAUAGGUGUGUUGCGUGAACGCAUAUGUGGUGGUGGCGUGUUGGACUCGGUGUUACACCAAUGUCCAAAACGACAAGAGAAUCAACAACGAAUUCACCGUGCUAUUCUCAGCAAAUUCACCAUGCUAUUUAAUUCCCGUGCCAAGAGGACUUACAGGGCAUGAGAGUUCAUCAUUAACCUUAAGUAAGUCUAGUUGCUGCCACGUGGACAUGGCGUGGCCACUCUUUCUAUUUUCACUUGUUUUUUUUUCUGACAUCCUAUUUCCACAUGUCAGUUACACCGCCCUUGAUUUUCUUUUGGGCGGUCAGUUACACUACCCUACAAAAGUGAGCAAUUUGUUACGCUACUAUACAAAAGUUGGUAACUAGUUACACUACCCUACAAAAAUAUGUUCGCUUAGGCUGGAAGCAAGAGAGUAUAUAACAAGCCCCCCUCCCUCCUUUACAUCCACCUGUCAUGCAAUCCAUCUUGAAGGUCUUAAUCUGUCAUACAAUCCUCUUAGUCUUUCAUAGGAAAUCUCAUGGAUCUCUCCAUGAAGGUUGUUGUGGUCGUUCUCCUGCUUCUUGUGACCACAGGCAUGCAUGCUAUUAUUUGAGAUAAUUAACAAUACUGCUAAAAUUAUAUGUGUGAGAUGACUGAUUUGCUUUAUUAAUUUUGCCCCGUGUAGAGGACCAGGGACCAGUGCAGCUAGCUUUGGCGAGGGACUGUCAGUCAAAGAGCUUCAAGUUCAAGGGGAUGUGUGUGCGCGAUGACAACUGUGCAAGUGUUUGCCUGCUCGAGGGUUUCACCGGAGGCAAGUGCAAGGGCUUUUGGCAUCGUUGUUACUGCACCAAGGACUGCUAGAUGGCCCUGAUUUGUCUAUUGCAUAUAUGCUUCCGUCUAAUAACUGAUAAUAACCGAAUAAUAGAUCUAUAUCUAUGUAUCUAUGCGUGCCUCUAUGAGUGAUGCUCGUCUGAGAUUCGUGAACUAAUACAAGUAAACGAGCACGCUAGGACGCCUCUCGAGCUAUCUACGAUAGAGAUGUCGCAUGGAUAGAAUGAGCCAUGAAAGAGCGAAGUAUAGUGCUGUGAACCCAGAAAAAGACAAGGCUUAGCUAGCAAGUCAUUGCAUCAUAUGAUAACCAGAACAAAGCUUGACGGAUGUAUGAUCUGAAGAAAGGUAGAGACUCGAGGGAUCCAUAUUUGAUCAUCUCAAUGUAGAUAGAUAAUCUAUAAUUCUUUCGCUCAACUCCUUCCUUUAUAUCAACAACUAGCGACCUUCGAACAACCUAGCUUUGAUAUCACUUGCUAGAAUAAUUUGAGUUGCAUCGUCGAUCAUCUAAGGACCAAGCAAUCAUACACGACAGAACACCAAGACUUGUUAACGAGAUUCACUGAACAUGGCUACAUCCUCAGAACAUGACCGCAUGUGCUCCUCUCCGUGACACCGUUAAAAUACCGCACACCGGCCACCAGGGCGCCGACAAACAUGCCGGCUCCCCCUAUGUGCACGUGCUAUUAUGUUAGCAUAGAUUAUAUCAUGUGUCUACCCUCACAUUAUAUAAGAGACAUAGGAUGCAAGUGUCAUAUUAGGACAAGACUCGGUACCUUAUCUACACACCAUAUGAUUUAGAGUCCAAUUGUAACCUAUCUUGUAUAAAAUAUUCGACACAACUCUAACAAAUAUAAGUAAGUAUCAGUUUUGCUAAAGCACAUCUAGAUAUGCUAUAAGUAUUGCACAUCUAAGUUCUAUAUCAUUGGUUUUACACUAAGAUUCGUGCAAGCAUUCUCUUUUGUCUUUUUCCCUUUUUCUUUCUAGUUUGAUUGAGCACUUAGAUGUGCAAUAAUUAGGGCACAUUUAGAUGUGCUCUAGACAGACCUAGUAAGUAUAGAUAGAUAUAAAUAUAUAAAUAUAGAUAUAGGUAGUUAUAAAUAUAGAAGUAUAGAUAUUGAUAUGGAUAUGGAUAUCAAUAUAAAUAGAUACAUGUGUUAUGUGAGCGCAUAUGUAGUUGUGGGGUGUUACACAAACAUUCAAAACAACGAGAAUCAACAACGAAUUCACCAUGCUAUUUAACUCCCAUGCCAAGAGGACUUGAAGAGCAUGAGAGUUCAUCAUUAACCUUAAGUGGGUCUAGUUGUUGCCACGUGGGUAUGACAUGGCCGCUCUUUAUAUUUUCACAUAUAUAUAUAUUUUUCUGACAACCUUUAUAUUUUCACAUGUCAGUUACAUUGCCCUUGAAUUUUUUUUUUGUGGGCGGUCAAUUACACUACCCUACAAAAGCUGGUAAUUUGUUAGGCUACCAUACAAAAGUUGGUACUUAGUUACACUACCCUACAAAAAUUUGUUCGCUUAGACUCGAAGCAAGAGAGAAAUCUAUGCGUUGAUGCAAGUAUAUAACAAGCCCCCUCCCUCCUGUACAUCCAGCUAUCAUACAGUUCAUCUUGAAGGUCUUAAUCUGUCAUACAAUCCUCUUAGUCUUCAGAUAAGAAAUUUCAUGGAUCUCUCCAUGAAAGUCUUUGUGGUCGUCCUCCUGCUUCUUGUGGCCACUGGUAUGUACGCCAUUAUUUGAGAUAAUUCACAAUACUGCUAAAAUUACAUAUGUGAGAUGACUGAUUUGCUUUAUUAAUUUUGCCCCGUGCAUGUAGAGGACCAGGGACCAGUGCAAGUAGCUUUGGCGAGGGACUGCAAGUCACAGAGCUACAAGUUCAAGGGGAUGUGCGUGCGCGAUGACAAUUGUGCAAGUGUUUGCCUGACCGAGGGUUUCCCCAGAGGCAAGUGCAAGGGCUUUGCAUGUUCCUGCCACAAGGAUUGCUAGAUGGCCCUGAUUUGUCUAUUGCAUACAUGCUUUUGUGUAAUAACUACUGAAUAAAUAAUAGUAGAUCUAUAUCUAUGUAUGUGUGUAUGCAAGCAUAUGCAUUUGUGACUGAUGCUCGUCUGAGAUUCAUGAACGGUUACAAGUAAAUGAGCACGCCAGGACGCCUCUUUUUUUUUUUCUUUUUUUUUUGCUGGAACGCCAGGACGCCUCUCAAGCUACCCACAAUAGAGAAGUCGUGCGGAUAGA